rnacentral:lncRNA from 1 species
AAUAAACCCGUGUAAUACACGGGUUUCACACCUAGUCUAUAAUAAUGUCAAGAUCAAUCAGUGUCGUGAUGAGUCAUGAGAGGCUUAAAGUUCAAGCCACUAGGUAAAUAGUUCAAAAAUGGAUUGAACUUAUCUGUUGACUAUUGGGUUUUUCCUCCUUUAACAUAUAAAUAUAAAAAAGGAACACUAAGCCACAUCAUUUAUCGAUGUGGAAUGUCAAUAAAUAACAUAUUACUUUGAGUUUGACAUGGUUUAAAUGAAAUUUCGUUCAUCAAUCACUGAACUUUCAUCGCGAAGACUAGUGAUUGAUAUAUGGUCGCUGAAAUAGUCGAAUCAAUUAUUUUAAAAAUACGUACAUUAACAUUAAAUUAGUGACGAAUCAACAAGUUUGAAAAUUAACAUUUUUAUGAAUUUAAAUUAUAUAAUUUAUAACUUAACAUUAAAUUUUCAUAAUAAUUUCCUUAAUAUAAAAGAUUAAAUAUCAACAUCCCAUCUAUUUAAAGUCUCUUUUACUCCUUUCUCCUCACCUCUAUCUUUCUCAUCAUUCUUUUUCCUCUAUAUAUAUUCCCCUAAACACAAAGCCAUCAUACAUGUCGAGAGUGCAUGCUUCUAGUUCUAGUCAUUAUCUAAAUAUGAGGAAUGGGAAUGGAAGCACGAGUUGUUGUUUUUGGGAUAGGGUAACUUGCAACGAGUACAUAGAUGGCCUAAUUAGCCUCGAAUGAAGCUAUGGUAUGCUCACAAUUAUCAUCCACAUCAUCUGCUUUCUAACCCAUUAAUCCUCUUGAUUUGUCUUUAUAUCUGUUUAUCAUACAAGAAUCAAACAUCAUGUUUUCAACCAUCUUUUUCCAAAUUGCACUCUUUGUAUAUAUAAAGCAUAAACACCCUUCAUAGGUCCAUUUUGUAUGUUUGUUUUCCUUCUGUUUUAACCAUUUAUCUUAAUCUCUCUUUUUGACAAUCUUAGAUCUUGGAGGACCAUGAUUUGUGGUGAUCAAAAGAUCAAGAAAUGUUAAACAAGAGAGGUGAGAUUAGUGGGUAAACAGAAUAUACGUACGUCAUAUAUAACUAUGAAAGGGUCUUUCUUCUUUUUCGUAAGAGUGUGAUUUUAUGGAAGAUUGUAAAUACUAACUAUGAAGUUUGGUUGUAUGGAUGAUAUGAUACGUUUGAGCUUACCACAACUCAGGUCGAUACUGAUUGCAAUCUUAGUGGACUAGUUGCAAGUGACUCCAUCCCAUGAACAAUAAUUUGAAUUUGUGCCCCUGAUCAGUCAUAUUCGAUUAAUCUUACUACAUUAUUUGGAUCCAAAGUCUUGUUAAGAUUUAUGGAGUCAUGAACAAAUUGACAAGUUCCUAAGAGUUUAAGGACCAUAAAUGUAACUUAGCAAUGAAUUGAAUUAUUGGAAGAAUCGUCACUGUUACCAACUCCAUGUGCAGAAGUAAAUUUUGUUUCCGCCUCAACAAGCAACACGAAAUGCAUGUUAAAUUAUUUCAACUGUGCAUAUUUUCGAGGAGGAAAUUUUCUUUCUUUUGCAGACAAUUUACAAAGGUAAAAUAGUGGGUAUUCACUUUCACAUUAGAGUGAAUUAUUGUUACGGCUCACAAUAUAUAUAUACUGGCCGUUCCAAACAUAUUGUGGGCUUAGGGUGAAAAAAAAAAAUAGGCCCUUAAAAAAAUACAAAUGUCAUCAAGUUUUUUUAUAAUAAAUCAAUAAUUAAAAGAAAAUUAUUUGUACUAUCUUCUAAAUAUAACAAUUUCCAUAAAAAAUUUGGAUCCCUUUAAAAGAUGGACCUUCGACGGUCGCUCAUAUUGUUCACCCUCUGGGACGGGCCUGUAUAUAUAUAAAUAUGUGUGUUGUAAGUAGAAACAUUACAGAGCACAACACAACGAGCAUAGAUACACAGAAAAGAAAUAGUGAUGUUGUAUUUUUGUUGAGUCUUAUUUUCGGUAGUCAAAAAUACAAGUGGUGCCUUAUAGUGAGUGAUCAUAUUACAAGUGCAGUUUUAGCCUUAUAUUAUUGUAAUUUUCUUUAGUGCUAAAUAAAAUCUCCUCUCUCGUUCGCCCAUGGAUGUAGGUCAAAUAAGACCGAACCACGUUAAAUAUCGUGUUCAGUUUCGUUUGCAAAUUUUUAGUAGUUUAUUCCGUAUGUGUUACUGAAAUCAUUUAUCGUUUUGUCCAAAAUGUUUAACUUGUUUUGUUGUAUUCCCAAUGAGUCUAAACGUAUAUGUUGAUAUUCGUAUUAAGUUUCAUAAAAAAAUUAAAAAAAAAGGAAAUAAUGGUAACAAUGACAUGUGGAUCUAGGGUGGUCGGUAAUUGAUAGUUGCACAUCCUUGAAAAUUAAUUGAGCUUUCAUCAAACUAUUUUUUAUAUUUAAUUAUUUUUUUAAUUUUUACAAUCAAUUAAAUUUNNNNNNNNNNAUAUAUAUUUUGUUUAAAUGAAUAGUUAAAACCACUACUCAAAGUUACAGCAUUAUUCUUCUAACGUUCUUUCUAUUUUCACAAAUUAUCUUUUAUUUUUAUUCUAAUUUCUUUCAAUAUUUGCUUAACUUAGCUCUUAUAUUAUUAACUUAACCCAUCCGAUCCUUGUUAAUGUAAUUUAACUAUAUAUCUAUGCUUCUUGGUCUCAGAAACUCUAAUUUUAUUUAUUUUAAACAUUUUACAUAUAUUAUACUUUGAUUGAUGGUUUAUUAAAAAGAAUGAGUAUAAUGGGGUAUAUAAGGGAAGAUAAAUCUUGUUCAAAAUAUUAUUCAUUUUUUCAAUACAAUUUAAGUGAAUGGUUCAGCACGUCUUUCGAUAAAUUGUGUAAUGAGAAGCUCUACGCUUUUAUCAAAUCAUAAUUGCCUAAAAGUUUCCCAAACAAAAAUCCAAUUUUCAUAAAAGCCCGAGCUAACACUUUACCAAAAUACCCCUUGGUUGCAAAACACAAACCGAACACCCAGAUCAUCUAAAUUACAUCACCCACAUCCAAAUGGGUCAAAAUCUCAUUUCCUCAAGGUCCUAAGCUUGAUAAUACUCGAUCUUUGGUCACCACCUCGAAAUAGGAAACGAUUCGGGACAGGGCAUUACAACUCCCCCUCCCCCUUCCACUUAAAUUAGAUUUCGUCCUCGAAAUCAUUCCUUACCAUCCCAGGCACGCCAAACAUCCUGAGCAACACGACCACAAUCCCGAGCAUACCACAACCUUCCCAAGGGCAACUGAAACCAACCCUAACAGGGCUCUCCCAACCCAAAGAUGAACGACUCCUUUCUCAGCCUAGAACAAUCCCAUGCAGAAAUAGCCACUUCUACUUAACCUGAAAUCUGAAGUCUAGAAUUGGUCUGACUCCCUGACAGACCGACCAUACCGAACAUUGCUAAUUCCAUUCCACUUUGACCAAAGGGAUUAGAUAAUCCUUCAAGAAAAGACUCAUCAUGAUGAUAACAAUUCCUCAAACAUAAUGAACAACGCGAGACAGACAGGGAGAUGAACCUUAUAGUGUUGAACAAGACAUUGCUUCCUUUAGCCGCCGAACUGACAUACCAUUGAUGAAAUUCUGAAACCCCAUACUUUCCUGACCCCCACAUAGAUAGAACCAAUCCAAAUCACAAUCGUAAGAGCCUGAUCUAUCAUCAACACUGAAACCAUCCCUUUAACCAUGAACCCUUCAACUGAUACCCUUGGCAUAUAUAUUCCUUAAUUCACAUCCUAAUGAAAUGAAGACCUUGCACAUAAACACCCAUGAUUCCUAACGUGAGUUCCCACCAAGAACCAUCUCGGUACCCAAAUCAUAACCCGAGAUCCAAGGAUCUACACUUGCAUUUCACUCGAAACGUUUUGAUUCACGGCAGCCCUUCCCUAAACUGGGAUAUAGAGAUUCCCAAACCAUCGUUGAGACUACCAAUCUCGCACCUGGUCCUGCCUCCAGUUUCCCAAGAGUCCAAAUGACAAGGCUAUCCUAGCCUAAGCAUCCCUCUACACCACUCACUGACCACAUAUUCAAUCCUGCAAACCAAAAUCCAAUACCUCAACCCAACGGUCUCUACCAGGUCCCACCUACAUUGGAAAAUUCACAUAGGCCUCGCCCACGGGUCCUACCUAAACUAUACCACGGAGCAGACCUCGCCUAUAGGUCCCACCCAUCUAGAGCUACACAGGCCCGACUCCGCCUCGAGCCCCAAUGGUUCUCAACCUAAAACAGAGAAAUGCUCACCGGAAAUCAUGACCGUCGAGCCCAAUGCACGAAUUGAUCCCCUUGUAUACUCAUGACCACCCUAACAAUAGUCUACCUCAAACUGGUGAAUGAUAUGAUCCUAUCGUAGUCUUACAACACUCCUAACCAACCAUGGUUACCACCCAUGGUCUUACCACACCCAAACCAACUUAAUCAUACAAUAACAUGCAGCGAGGCUCUAACACAACCCUCAACCUGGAUCCAUCCACAAGCCUGCUAUAAAGAAGACGCCGAACAACUGUUGGGAGUUUCCUGAACUCCCAACUUACACAACUUCAAUCCUGACGGCCACUAGGGUCAUCCACUCCCUCUGGCAGGGUAAGAAUCGGUGCCUUGCACAGUCGUUGCUUGAGCGCCUCAAAUGUUGACUGCUGCUCAGGACCCUAGCGGAAUGCCACUGAAUUCCUAGUCAAUCGAGUGAGCGGUACUGCUAUCUUGGAAAAAUCCUGAAUGAAUCUCUUGUAAUACCCUAUCAGACCUAGGAAGCUCCAAAUCUCAGAUGGAGACCUCGGGACCUCCCACUACAUCACGACCUCUAUCUUGGCCGGAUCUACAAGUAUACCCUUCUGGUUGACGAGGUGUCCAAGGAAUUGCACCUCGAGCAACCAGAACUCACACUUGGAGAACUUCGCGAAAAGUUUCUCCCUCCUCAGUGUCUCUAGCACCUCAAUCAGGUGCUCCCCGUGCUGAUCCUGAGUCUUGGAAUAAACCAAGAUGUCGUCGAUGAACACUAUCAUAGACCGAUCCAGCAUCGGCCUGUAUACGCGGUUCAUGAGAUCCAUGAACGCGACUGGAGCGUUGGUGAGCCCAAACGACAUCACCACGAACUCAUAAUGGCCAUAGCGAGUCCUAAAAGCGGUCUUCUGCACAUCCUCAUCCCUGACCCACAUCUGUGAUAUCCGGACCGUAGAUCAAUCUUGGAAAACCAAGAUGCUCCCUGAAGCUGGUCGAACAAAUCAUCUAUCCUCGGUAGUGGGUAACGGUUCUUCACCGUUACCUUGUUUAACUCUCGAUAAUAUAUACACAUACAGUGCGACCCAUCCUUCUUCUUCACAAACAGGAUCGGGGCUCCCCAUGGUGAACUGCUCGGCCUGAUAAAACCUUUGUCUAGCAGCUCCUGCAGCUGCGUAGACAACUCCUGCAUCUCUGGAAGAGCCAACCGAUAUGGUGCCUUGGCUAUCGGAUCCGCACCAAGGACCAGGUCAAUCCUGAACUCAACCUGUCUCUCAGGAGGUAUUCCAGGCAAAUCCUCUGGAAAUACAUUUGGGUACUCUCGUACCACCGGUACAUCGUCAAAUGUCGCCUUACCCUUCUCUCGGGCAUCCAUGACAUAGGAGAUGUACCCUGCGCAACCCUGCUGGAAGUAGCGCCUCGCUCUCGCUGCUGAACAAAGAAUCGGUCCGUGCUGUGGCCUUUCCCCCUGAAUCACUAACUCUCCCCACUAGGAGUGCAAACCCUCACUAGUUGUAGCUCACAAUCGAUCACUGCCCCGUUGGGGCUCAACCAAUCCAUACCUACUAUAACCUUGUUCCCUCGCAGGGGAAUAGGAACCAGGUCUACUGAGAACUGGUCAUCAAUUAAUUGUAGUGUACAUCCUCUAUGAACUCUCGCAACCCUGACGGUCCUGUCAUCAGCUAUCUCCAUAUGAAGUGGGCAAUCCAACUCCUCCGGAGCCCUGCUAAAUCGCUUGCUAAGCGCGAGCGACACAAAUGAUCGGGUAGCCCCCGAAUCAAACAAUACUAGAGUUGAGAUGUCGUUCACUAGGAACGAUCCUAUAGACAAACACAUAACCAUAAGCAAUAGAUGAUAAUAAUAAAAAGAUGAUGGAUAAGAUACAUACCCGUAACCACAUUAGGAGUCGUCCGAGCCUCCCCGACUGUCAACUGGAAUGCCCAAAUCUGACUUCGUAUGAAGAAGUUACGAUUUUUCGAAGUUUUAGAUUAGCAGUGUACAGCCCGAAAUUCGAAUAUUAGAUCGAUCGAUUUUUAGCCGACACAAACUAAACGAGAAUCGAAGAUCUCAUUAUUAGUAGCGUAACAAUAAAAAGACAGACGAAAAUGGACAUCGGAUGAAGAAGUUAUGAGAUUAUAACGGACCAAUCCUGUCCCGGCCUGUUAAAAAUAUAACUUUAAAAAUAAAUUCAAAAUUAGCCGACGGAGUCUAAACGAAAGUUGUAGAGUGCGUCUCCACCUACGCAUGGAUAUAAAGAACGUCAAAAACGGAGUUCGUAUGAACGAGUUACAAAUUAUAAUAGCAUAUUUACGUAUUAAAAUAAAGUAUAAAUCAUAUAUACGUACACAUAUAUAUACAUAUGUAUAUAUCAUUAGAAAGGUAUCGACGAUGCGGUCAUUAUAAGACUAAUGUUGAGUUCUUUCGACAUUAGUUUAGUACAAAUAUCUUUAAAUCUAUUUAAAAUAGUAUUAUAAAGGGGUGUUUAGUUGUUUAUAUAACUAUAAGGUCAUUAAGUAAUUAUGGGGGGUAGUUUUUGUAAAUUCAAUUACUAUAAAUAAGAGGCUUGGGCUCUCAUAUUUCUUGCACCAUUCUCUUGAUUCAAGAGUCUUUCUCUCCUUAUCCCCCGAGCAUUUCGGUCCCUCGUGAUUCGACUUCUCUUUCUGUAGUUUUAGUAUAGUAAGGUGAGCGCUGAAGCGCUGCACGAAUCUUUCUUAGAAAGAUUCAGCGACGAAGUUCUGCCCCUACAGAGCCCGACUCCUAGCUAAAAUCCCCUUGUAAGUAAGUUAUGCUUACCCUAUUUUAAAUAUAGUUUAUAUUUAAAAUUAGUAUUGUUAUUAUAAAUUUAUAAUAAAUAUUUGAGCUAUUAUUAUGACUUAUAUAAGUGUCGUUAUAAUAUCUUUUUAACUACUCGCGGUACGGGGAAUCUGGUUUAAAGGGCCGCAUAGGGUUGUUGGAUUUCAGAAGUGCUAUAUGCCAAAAUGGUCCUGCCCUCCGGUGUUUUAUGUCUGGCCCCUGUCUGUACAUAGUGGUUGGAAAGUAUUGUUUAAACGCUUAUAUAAUAAUNUAUGUCUGGCCCCUGUUUGUACAUAGUGGUUGGAAAGUAUUGUUUAAACACUUAUAUAAUAAUAAUAAUAAUAAGACUAAUAAUUAGUCACGGUAAAUAUUAGAGUAAAAUCUAGUGGUAAUAAUACUAGGUUUCGUCGAAGGAAAUUAUUUUAAAGUAAACGAAGCGUUGUCCGAGUACCGAGCCACCACCUUUUCAAGUGAGUGCAUAGUUACUUUCAUCUUAUACAUAGAUAUGAAGUAUUUAAUAUAUAUUACGUGUUGUGAGUGCAUAGUUACUUUCAUCUUACACAUAGAUAUGAAGUAUUUNNNNNNNNNNNNNNNNNNNNNNNNNNNNNNNNNNNNNNNNNNNNNNNNNNNNNNNNNNNNNNNNNNNNNNNNNNNNNNNNNNNNNNNNNNNNNNNNNNNNNNNNNNNNNNNNNNNNNNNNNNNNNNNNNNNNNNNNNNNNNNNNNNNNNNNNNNNNNNNNNNNNNNNNNNNNNNNNNNNNNNNNNNNNNNNNNNNNNNNNNNNNNNNNNNNNNNNNNNNNNNNNNNNNNNNNNNNNNNNNNNNNNNNNNNNNNNNNNNNNNNNNNNNNNNNNNNNNNNNNNNNNNNNNNNNNNNNNNNNNNNNNNNNNNNNNNNNNNNNNNNNNNNNNNNNNNNNNNNNNNNNNNNNNNNNNNNNNNNNNNNNNNNNNNNNNNNNNNNNNNNNNNNNNNNNNNNNNNNNNNNNNNNNNNNNNNNNNNNNNNNNNNNNNNNNNNNNNNNNNNNNNNNNNNNNNNNNNNNNNNNNNNNNNNNNNNNNNNNNNNNNNNNNNNNNNNNNNNNNNNNNNNNNNNNNNNNNNNNNNNNNNNNNNNNNNNNNNNNNNNNNNNNNNNNNNNNNNNNNNNNNNNNNNNNNNNNNNNNNNNNNNNNNNNNNNNNNNNNNNNNNNNNNNNNNNNNNNNNNNNNNNNNNNNNNNNNNNNNNNNNNNNNNNNNNNNNNNNNNNNNNNNNNNNNNNNNNNNNNNNNNNNNNNNNNNNNNNNNNNNNNNNNNNNNNNNNNNNNNNNNNNNNNNNNNNNNNNNNNNNNNNNNNNNNNNNNNNNNNNNNNNNNNNNNNNNNNNNNNNNNNNNNNNNNNNNNNNNNNNNNNNNNNNNNNNNNNNNNNNNNNNNNNNNNNNNNNNNNNNNNNNNNNNNNNNNNNNNNNNNNNNNNNNNNNNNNNNNNNNNNNNNNNNNNNNNNNNNNNNNNNNNNNNNNNNNNNNNNNNNNNNNNNNNNNNNNNNNNNNNNNNNNNNNNNNNNNNNNNNNNNNNNNNNNNNNNNNNNNNNNNNNNNNNNNNNNNNNNNNNNNNNNNNNNNNNNNNNNNNNNNNNNNNNNNNNNNNNNNNNNNNNNNNNNNNNNNNNNNNNNNNNNNNNNNNNNNNNNNNNNNNNNNNNNNNNNNNNNNNNNNNNNNNNNNNNNNNNNNNNNNNNNNNNNNNNNNNNNNNNNNNNNNNNNNNNNNNNNNNNNNNNNNNNNNNNNNNNNNNNNNNNNNNNNNNNNNNNNNNNNNNNNNNNNNNNNNNNNNNNNNNNNNNNNNNNNNNNNNNNNNNNNNNNNNNNNNNNNNNNNNNNNNNNNNNNNNNNNNNNNNNNNNNNNNNNNNNNNNNNNNNNNNNNNNNNNNNNNNNNNNNNNNNNNNNNNNNNNNNNNNNNNNNNNNNNNNNNNNNNNNNNNNNNNNNNNNNNNNNNNNNNNNNNNNNNNNNNNNNNNNNNNNNNNNNNNNNNNNNNNNNNNNNNNNNNNNNNNNNNNNNNNNNNNNNNNNNNNNNNNNNNNNNNNNNNNNNNNNNNNNNNNNNNNNNNNNNNNNNNNNNNNNNNNNNNNNNNNNNNNNNNNNNNNNNNNNNNNNNNNNNNNNNNNNNNNNNNNNNNNNNNNNNNNNNNNNNNNNNNNNNNNNNNNNNNNNNNNNNNNNNNNNNNNNNNNUAGGUGGUGACUCAGCACUCGGACAGCGCUUCGAUACUCUCAAAACGAUAUUCCUUCGAUAAAACCUAGUAUCGGUACCACUAGGGUUUAGUUUAACGAUAACCGCGACAAAUUAAUUAGUCCGAGUAUUAUUAAGCGUUAAUAAUACUCAUAAUAAUAGCCCAAGUACUUAUUAUAAGUUCCUAAUAACGUUACUAUAUUAAAACAUAAGCUAAACUAAAGUUAGGGUAGGUAUAGCUCACUUACAGCGGGUUUUCUCGAAAACCGGGCUUCGCUGGAGCAGCGUUCCCGAGCCGAAAGGCUCUUUUCUCGGAACUCCGGGAGCCUCGGGGCUUCCUUCGGGUGCUAGGGGGUUUACCUAGGCUUUAAGGGGGCUUAAGGAGCUUAGAGAGAGAGUAUAGAGAGAGAAAGAAUGUUGGAGAGGUGUGAAGAGAAGUGAAUGCCCGGCACCUCUAUUUAUAGGGGUGCUGACUGGUCUACUCGCCGAGUAGGGGGGACCUACUCGCCGAGUUGGUCCAUGUGGUGGCCUUCUGGUGGUGCCACGUGUCCAAUUCUGGUGGUGCCACGUCACCCCCUAUCGCGUGUCAGCCUUCGAACUUAGAAAAAUCAUAACUCUCGCAUACGAGCUCCGUUUUCGACGUUCUUUAUAUCCACGCGUAGGUAAAAUCAAGAUCUACAACUUUCAUUUAGACUCCGUCGGCUAAUUCUCGACCGAUCUCAAAUUUAACAGUAGGAGGCGUUUAGACUGUUAAAUGACCGCGAAGAAUUCGUAACUCCUUCAUACGAACUCCGUUUUCGUCCGUCUUUUUACCGUUGAGUUCCUAUUAAUGAGAUCUUCAACUCUCAUUUAGGUCGCGUAAGCCAAAAACCGCUCGAACUAAAAUUCGAGUUUCGGGUCGUGCACUGCUAAGCCGAAUCUUAGAAAAAUCAUAACUUCCUCAUACGCAGUCAGAUUUGGACGUUCUUUUUAUCGACACUCUUAGUUUAACAUAUUCUACAACUUUCUUUUAGAUUUCUAAGGCUAAAUAUCGCUCUAUCAUAAAUUCACUAUUUACGCUUCCCGGUGCCGUGCCGGUUUUGCCGUAAAACUUCGACGGGCCAUAACUUCUUCGUUAUAACUCGGAUUUCGGCAUUCUUUAUAUGUACGGAAACCUUGUGACAUACUCUACAACUUGGUUAAGAUUAUUUAUUCUAAAUAAUCUUUUGUCGAAAAGUCGUUUUCGACCCUUAUUGCCUCUAAAUUGACUAGCCCGGAUAUACGGGCGUUACACUAUGCUAGCUGAAGUACAUGAAACCAAAACUAAAACUGUAAGCACAAAGCUUAGUGAGCUCCUCCAAACUACCACAUACCAUAAAAUAACAUAUAAAGCACAUACUGGGCCUUGCCCACUGCAACGGACCAAAGUCCAGAACUAACUAAGGCCUCGUCCCUACAUCGGACCGAAGUCCGAAACUAACUAGGGCCUUGCCCCCUGCAUCGGACCGAAGUCCAGAACUGACUGGGGCCUUGCCCCCUACAUCGGACCGAAGACCAGAACUGACUGAACAUAGCAUAACAUAACCAUAGAAUAUAACAAUAACACAUAUACUACAUAUUGCAUCGGGCCGCAGCCCGGAACACAUAACACAUAGACAUGCCCAAAUCACAAAGACAUCAAGCAUAAUGUACUAUUUCUCGGGACCACCCCAGCAUCGGACCACAAUUUGAAAACUACUGCUAUCUAAGCAGGUCGGCAUUGUGGCCGUAGACUCGUUCCUACUAGAAUGAAACUCACCUCGUAAGGCUGACUGCUGAAAUGCUGAUCGGGAAAUGUCUGACUGCUGCUCCGGCAACUCCCUGACUACAAUUUACAUAAAGACACUUAGUCACACACUGAUACUAAUCUUAGGGUAAAGUGACUAUUUUACCCCUGGUCAAAGUCAUCAUAUAGGUCAAAUUCAACUGCCAUUCGACCUGACUCGCCGAGUUGGGCCGCCAACUCGCCGAGUCCCUAUCCUUUCUUCUAUUUCCCAAACCGACUCUACUCGUCGAGUUUAGCAAAGACUCGACGAGUUCUCAUUCUAUAAUAACAUCGAGUCAACCUUCGUUUGACUCGCUGAUUUGUAUGAACAGCUCGUCGAGACCUCCUUCAUCAUAUGAACACGUCCAGUCUACGACUCGCCGAGUUGUAUAAACAACUCGUCGAGUCUGUUCUUGCGGUUAAGAAGAUUGCCUUGGACUCGCCGAGUGUGUUCUUAUACUCGUCGAGUCCCAUGGUUUCCAGAUUAUGGCUAACUCUUAAAACAUCAAAACACUCCUUGGGCCUUCCUAAACCUCUGCUAGCACUCAACUGGGCUCCUUUGAGCCACAACAAAUUUGGGGACUCCAGCCUCGGACUCGCCGAGUUCCAAGAACAACUCGUCGAGUCACCUAUUGUCCAAGUCUAUAACUCGAUUUCUGAUAUACAAUUCUCGUCCAAAAGGUAGAUAUGGGCUUCUAAGGUUGAUCUAACACGUAAAGUUAUGAACUUUACGUGCAUGUAUGGAAGUAUAAGCUUUAAGGACCCAAAAAGAGGUCUAAAGAAGUGCAUGGGCUAAUAUGGCCAUAGAGCUUGCAUCUUUAUACCAUGAAAUUGGUUCUAGAGUCUAGAUCUGAAGGUGAAUCGACUUCGGACGUCCAAGUCUUAAGGAUCAAGCUUAUUGACCCCAAAACUCCAUAAAGAGGGCAAAGGAGGAAAUCUAUAAAACCACAAGUCAAGUUUUGAGCUUGAUUACCUGAAAGUGAAGAGAAACUGGUGUUGCUCCUGGAUCUAGUCCUUCUCCCUUGAUCCUUCUUCCUUAUAACUCUUCAACUAGAUACACAAUACACCAAAAACCCUCCAAGUCACUAAGAAAGCUCAAGAUUGCGAAAAGGGAAUUAGGGUUUCGAAGGUAAUGCUCUGGAGGUGAUGGAGGCUGGACCUGAAGCUCAUAAUGUGGUUUAAAUAGGGUGCAAACCCUUUAAUUAGGGUUUCAUCCAGACUAGCCUACUCGUCGAGUCCAAGCGCGGACUCGGCGAGUAGAUUACUUAAACCUGCGUCCCAACCUCGCAUCUACUCGACGAGUUAGGGCUGCCACUCGUCGAGUCAUUAAUACAAUUGAUAUAUAAGUAGAUCAAAUACGUACCAAAAACGGGUCGUUACAAAAAUAAGCACCAACUUCUUCUCAAUAGCUCAAAGAUACAACAAUGGAGGAUAAGGGUCGAAAUUUAGGGUUUAGGAGGUAUGGAGGUUGGUAAUUAAUGAGCUUAAAUAGGGUGCAACAUCUCAAAACUAGGGUUUCAUUAAACCCUCGUACGCCCCGCGUAAUCCUCGUACGCCCAACGUAUGAGGCCUCACAUCGGCGAUUAAACCCUCCUAGUAUGCUAAGUGUACACCAAUGUACGCUCAAGUACUGAACUUCAAACUAGUACGCCUUGCGUACUCCCUAUGUAUGCCCCACGUACUAGGUUAUCCUUAAACCCUGCAAUCCUCUGAAGGCCAUAACUUCUUCAUUAUAAUACCAAUUUUGACGCUUCUUAUAUCCAUGAAAAGAUAACGAGAAGCUCUACGCUUUUAUCAACUCAUACUUGCCUUAAAAUUUCCCGAAUAAAAAUCCAAUUUCCAUAAAAGCUCGAGCUGACACUUUACCAAAAUACCCCAUGGCUCCAAAACACAAAUUGUACAGUCGGAUCCUCUAAAUUACGUCACCCACAUCCAAAUAGGUCUAGAUCUCAUUUCCUCAAAGGUCCUAAGCCUGAUAAUACUCAAUCUUUGGUCACCACCCCGAAAUAGGAAACGAUUCGGGACAUGACGUUACAAUAAGGGUUUCCAUCCAAUAGAAUACAAUGAUCUGUGGAUACGCAUGUACACCACAAUGGAAAAACAAUAAGCAUUGGAUGUCAUUCUUGUAAAUCAACUUGCACAUAAUAGCAACCGUAAACAAGGAUGAUAAUAAUAAUAGUUGCAUGAUUUGGAAAGUUUUAAUGGACCAUUCCAAAGCGGGAAGCAUGUCAAUGACCAUAGUAUGAUUAAUAAAAAUGAACAAUUACACCAUACUUGUUUGGAAUUAGAAAACCAAUGUCCGACAUAAUUAUCCAAUAUGUUCGUAAAUUGUGAUUCAACCGUUUGUUCAAUAUCGUAAAAAAUCUAUCUAACUUGGAGUGAUUUGAAUCCAUUUUUUUAACUUAGAAUGUUGACUUUCAACUCUGUUAUUAGUGUGUUUGUGGAAGUAUACAAUUAUGUUCAUUCAUGAUGAUACAAAAUUCGUUCACUAUGAUAUAUAUAUAAUCAUAUGCAUCAAUAUAAUUGUUUAAAUAUUUUGUUUGUUAGUCAUUGUUAAUCGAAAGAUGUGUUCCACCGUUCAUUUAAAUUGUCUCGAAAAAUAGGAAGAAUGCUUUAGAUACAAUUUACCUUUCCCCUUUAUCUUAGGUAAAAUGAAUUAGGAGGGUAACCGACUGUUGAGUUUGUUCACAUUUGAUCUCUUUAGAAUCAAUUUUCCCCGACCUCUUGAUGCUAUCAAUUAUAUAAAAUGCAACCCUUUUGAAGCAAAAACACACUAGGUAGUAACUGUCAUUAACAACAAUUGGUAUGAAAACCUGUAUUUAAACAAUAUCAGCAUCAGUGCAACAUAAAUGUGUGAUACCAAUCAUGUUUAAAUACUAUAAAAUGUAACAAUUCCAUACCAAGUCCACCGUUUUCAAAUCUGGUUUGUUCGCUAUGUCAUUAAUCACAGCUACAAACAUAAUUCUGAAUUUAUUGUACCUCAGCUCCUCAUCUACAACUUCAUUAACCAUGUAAUAUGUCUGUUUUAUCAUAACAAAAUACUGACCAUAUUACAAUUCAUAGCGGAAUAUGACAUACAACACACAUAUUAUUAUUAAAAACUUACAACCGUAUCACAUGUGAAGUACAUCUUAGAGUAAGAAGCCUCUGACUUCAGUUCCUCAGUUUUAUUAAGGAAAGGAGCCAACGCGUCUAUUACAUUGGUAUGCACUUUUGUUCUCAUAGCUAACAUACGUGUAACUUCCAAAUGCAUUCCAUGACCUUCAAUGUUUCCCAUAUAAUUUCCCUACCAUUUAAACAUAAUACAAUAAAAAUGUCACAACACAAAAAAAAAUCCAUUUUCAUUUAGUCACAUAAAAUGUACAUUCUUACCCUUUAUCUUUCCCCCAUGCUAUUAUGCUUUGAGCCACAACGUUUUCAUCAUCUUUAACCGCCUCAUCCACGUCCGUAAUCCGAUCUACAUAAGGUGAACACACCAAUUGUCCAAGUUUACCCUUCCUUUUACCUUUCCCAUUUUUGAAAUCAACAACAUGCACCAUUUCACUUUCCAUAAGAUCUUUUCCAGUUCUUUUCUUCAGUUUGUCUUCCGCUAUAGAUUUUUUUGUAUAUCUAAUUAUUGCCUUACUUCCUUCCUUAUCAUCCAUAUUUUUAUCUUCCUCAUUCAAUUGUGUUAUUCUUAAAUCGAAUGAUGGUAUGUCAUCUUUCCAAAAAUCCCUUUUCUUUCUCAUGCUCCUUUCCACAAUUUCAUCAGACAUAUUCAAAAAACCAAGAGUCAGAACAACUGGACUAUCUAAUGAUGUAUUUCCUUUAUAUUCCAGAAAGAGUACUGAAGGUGAGUCGCACCCAUCCACAACCUUUGUCUUCUUGUUAUUCCUUCCAGUAGACUGAACAUUGCAUAUCAGACUAUUUCCUUUCACAAAACUACUUCCUUUCACAAAAUUACUUUGAUCAGAAUUGACUGCAACUUUAACGGGCGUUUUCAUUGUUGCUUCAUUUGUGGGCUACCUAUUAUCUCCAUGUUCCACAGUCUUUUCAUUAAAAAGUUGGUGCACCUUUCUUGACCACUCUUUUAGCACAUCAUCAUUUGCAUCAUCUUCUAACCCUUUCUUAAUUGCUUCCUCAAUUUUUUUCUUAUCAUCACAGAUCCUACAAUAUAGCAUUUCAAUUGAUUCCACCCCAACCUGUCAUUGUUAUUAAAACCAAUUACACAUUUUUCUUAUGUAUAAUAUUAUUUAUUACAAAAAAUACAUGACAUAAAUAAUAAAUUAACUUACCAGCUUAUCCUCACCACCAUUUACAUCCAUAAGAUCUACUUUCCCAUCUCCACGAAACUCCAAUGUUCCAAAUUUUCCCAUUCUCAAUCCAAGCUCCUCCAACAUUUCCAAAUCCACUGAGUCAAUCUGUUUUAUCAAUGGCCUUGAUCUGCGGAUAUUAUAGCCAUUCAAAACUACUUUGUCCGCAUACGUAAGUUGUAACAACAUAAUUAAUAAGUUAUAUUUACUUAAUUUCAUUAAAGAAUUAAAAAAUAAUAUAAAACUAAAUGCACAUAAUAACAAAUACUUGCCAGUAAGAGAGUGACUGGACUUGUGUAAUAACAGUUUGCGUCAUUUGGCCUCCAUUUGUAUUUUGCCUUCUCCAAACAUUCAACUAUAUACUUGCACCAAUCAAUCUUUUGAAUAUUUUCACACCUUGCUAAUUUCUCCAGACAAUUAAUACGGCUUUCCCCACUCAUCUAUGUCUCUGCAAACGUGUUUAUGAAUAAUGUCAGGAAAUUUAGCUUGAACAUGUUCUCCACCACAUCUGAUUGUCUAAUCCUCUUCACAUAGUUUCCAUUAUUGAACUUUCCUCCUGGAUAUUGACUUUUCCAUGCUUCAAUAAAUGUAUCUGUUUUAUCGCAUUCCACCAACUGGUUGUAGUCUAAACCUUCACUUGGCAAACCAAACAUCUCUUCAACCGUUUUCUUUGUAAUAAGUAUUUCCCCAUUCUUAGUCUUAAUCGUCGAUAUUUUUUCUCUGAAUUUGUCCACCAAGUAGUAAGCUAAUCUAGAAGGUAUUGAAUCUAAAUUUAUAUCAAGGAACGCACAGAAACCCAUUCGUCUCGCCAUUUCUUUCUGACUGUAUGACAUUCCCUUCACUGCCAUAUACAUUGAUUUUGGGGACAUACGACAACUUAUCUUUUGCAACUCUUUAGUUGUGUCGUCCUCAAUAACUACAUCUUCAUUUUCGACUACAUUCUUUCUUUUUGAUUUUCUUUUCUUCAUUCCCUUCUUAUUAUCAGCUUCCUUUAAAACUUCAUUUUUUAUGACUUUAGUUUUUUUUCCUACCACUUCUUCUUACAUUAACAUCACGAUCAACUUCACUAUCUUCAUAAUGUUCAUCUUUCCUUUUGUUUUUCUUACUGACACUAACACUUAAUUGAUUAACCUACAACAAACACAAAAUAACAUAACACUACACCAAUAAGAAUCAUGCAUAAUUUUUUUAAAUGUUUUCUGCUUUGAAUAUUCCAAAAUAUUAUAUGUGUGUACACUAUUGUAUACUGUAAUGAAGCAUAAACAACAUAAUGUAUUUUGUAUUGACUACUACAUCAAACUUAAAAAUGAUUUUUUUAAAUACUACACAAUACCACAAAAACAUACUAGUUAAAUAAUAUUGUUUUCGAUUUGAAUAAUUUCAUACACAAUGCUUAAAUGUUACCUAUAGAAUACUAUUAGUUUUAAAUAAUACACAAUACCACAAACCAUUCUAGUGAGAAUAAAUAAUGUUACUUAUAUCAAAAUUCAUUCAAGGAUAUUUAAGUCCUGACACAUAUUAUGUUUUCACUAUUGAAUACAUGUAGAAACAUAGCAUGCAUGAUGUGUUCUUUAUUGACUACUAAAUCAAACCCUAACAUAAUAUUAUGAAAUAUAUUACAUACUGACACAUAUAAUGUAAUAACCAAAUACUGUUAGUCAUGUCAAGAUUCAAUGCAUGCUUGGGAUAAUACUACACCAACAAGAAUCAUGCAUAUUUGUUUUUUAUAUGUUUUCAUUAGCAGAAUAUUUAAUCCAAGAAAUAUAUGAUGUAUUGAAUUAUUACAUAAUGUGUUCUUUAUUGAAUACUAAAUCAAACCUUAACAUAAUAUUACGAAAUAUUACAUACUAACACACACAACAUAAUAAUCAAAUAAUGUUAGUCAUGUCAAGAUUCAAUGCAUGAUUGGGAUAAUACUACACCAAUAAAAAUCAUGCAUAUUUGUUUUUUAUAUGUUUUUAGUGCAGAAUAUUUAAUCCAAGAAAUAUGUGAUGUAUUGAAUUAUUACAUAACAUAUUCUAUAUCAAAAUGUUUUCAAUAUUGAAUCCAUGUGAAAGCAUUCCACACUAUCACACAUACUGUAUAUUAUGUAUUGAAGCAUUACAUAAGUAAUGUAUUCUGUAUUGAAUACUAAAUUAAAAUAUUAAAUUAUAUUUUGAAAUAAUACAAUAAACCAGAAAACAUACUAGUGAAAUUAUAAUGUAUGCUGAUAUGAAUAAUUUAAUACACAAUCCUUAAUUUUUUUAGAAUACUUUUAUUUUGAAAUAAUAGACAAUACCACAAACCAUUACACUGUUAAUACAAAUUAAGUGCAUAAUAUUUAAUCUAAGAAAUAUAUGAUGUAUUCAAUUCUUACAUAAUGUUUUCAAUAUCAAAAUGUUUUCAGUAUUGGAUAUAUGUGGAAACAUUGCAUACUUUCACACAUACCACAAACCAUUACACUGUUAAUACAAAUUAAGUGCAUAAUAUUUAAUCUAAGAAAUAUAUGAUGUAUUCAAUUCUUACAUAAUGUUUUCAAUAUCAAAAUGUUUUCAAUAUUGGAUAUAUGUGGAAACAUUGCAUACUUUCACACAUACUGUAUAUUCAGAUCAGAACGUUUUAGUACUAAUAUAUACUUUAUAUUAAAGUAUUAUACAAUGUGUUCAAUAUUGAAAACACGUGGCUAAUCAUAUAAUAUUCCACACAUAAAAAAAACAAACAUCACGCAGUCAAACACAUACAAAUCUAACACAAUAUCACUUACAGAAGAAGUAUUUUUUUCAAAAUGACAUUUCAUCUUUUUUUUUUUGCUAAUGGUUCCCUACUAAGUAUCUUUUUCAAAAUGACAUUUCAUCUUUUUUUUUGUUAAUGGUUCCCUACUAAGCAUCACCACACUAGAACCUCCUGCAAAUUAUGACAAUGAAAAAUUGUUAAUAAAUUAGACUACUUAUUAUAUACUAUAUAAAACCCUUGAAAAACUAGUCAUUCUUCUAAUUAGAUUCCAUGAUACAACCACAACAACAUUCUUAACCGUAUUACGAUUAUAAUAUCAUUAUUAAAAAGACAAAAAAACAUAAAACACACAAGUAUAACAGUCGUCAUCUUCAACAAAACCCUAAAAAAAUCAACAACAGAAUACGUGAAUCGUCAACAAAGAAACUAACUACAAACAUUCUGUAUCUAGAUUUUUAACUAUUUUACGCAUAUUAUAUUUGUAUUUAACAAACAAAGCCAACAGUCGUCGUAUUCAAAACAGAAACUAAUGUACAGUUGUAUUUGAACAUCAAUGAUCAAUACAUGAAUGAAUGUUCACAAAAUCGUCGUCAGCAAGGUUAAUGGCUUCUUCAAAGGUGUUGCUGAACUUGUUACCCUUCAUUUUUGAGUUUGAUUGAAGAAUCCUCAUUAUGUGCUAUGUUGAACAAUCAACGAUUUUUAUACUCAACUACCGAAUCAGCUUUACCAGAAUCACAUUCAACGUUGAAAUCGGAUAAUAUCUUCAACAAAAAUUGGAAGAUGCGUACGGAUAUGGAAGACGGAUUCACCAGCGAAAAAUACAAACUGAAAACCAUCUUCCUAAUUUACUUAACCUAGUUUUUUUACCCAAAUGCCCUCACAAACCCGUUAUCAGCUAAUUUGUGGUAUUUUCCAUUUUUUCCAUUUUAUUUAAAUAUAAAACACUUAAUUAACCUAACCAUCUAUUUAAUUAAUUUAAUGGUUGUAAAAUAUCCUCAUGUUCUCACAAUAAUUGGUGUUUUUACAAGAAAUAUAUAUAUAUAUAUAUNUUGGUGAGUUUUUUUUCUUUUUUUUUUUUAAUAAUAAUUUGGCCCUUUAGGUUUUUCCGAUUUAUUUUGUACUUAAAACCCAUCGCCCUAUUUAAGCCAAUAAGAAUAAGAUUGGUAUCCAAUUGAUCUAUUAAUUAAUUUAUAUAUUUUAGUUAAACCAUUAUCCCCUCUAAUUUAUCUAAUUUUUUUUCUAUUUUUUAAGAAAAAAGAUUAUGUCUUUUUAAGUAAAAAUUUUGACUUUUUUCAAACAAUUCAACGAUUGAAUGGAAUCUCGGAUUGCAAUUCUGUCAGAAUUAGAGAACAAAACGCAGUUGUGGAACACGAAUGAGAUCCUUCCACCAAUAAAGAAUAAGAUUUUUAUUUCUUUUAAUUUAUCUCGAUUAACAGGACCAUAGAGGUCAGUUAUGAUCUAUUUUUUUAUAAAACAAAGUUUAUUUUAAAAAAAUGUAAAAUGAAAAGAAACAUAAAAGGAGAAGUGACCUAAGCAGGUGAGACCAGCCACUCACAACAACCCCUUUACUUUUUCUUUAAUUUCUUUUAAUUUUCUUAUGAUAGUUUACCGAAUAAUGUAAGUCUUUAGUUUCAAAAAAUGGAUUGCAUUAUAUUCAUUGUAUUUGCAAAUGAGUGCAUUUAAUUAUUAAUGUUAGUUGAUUGAUAGAAGAAGAGUGACAGGGAUGAAAAUUGACAAAGUCUUUAUUUGUGGUGGCCAAAGUCUGAAGUGUAUAUGUCAAGGUGAGUCUUCUUGUUAUACCAUGUAGGAUGCUAGAUUGUCUUUGUGAAUCUUGUAUAAAAGACCAUGAGGAGGACCAUGGGGGGACCAUUACAAUUAUAUGAAAGACCAUGGCAAUUACAUGAAAGACCAUGGGGGACCACGAUAGGAAAGACUGAGGGGGGACUGUAACAAUAGAAAUGAUUAUAAGACUAUGUGGGGACCAUAAUAUUCACAUGGGUUAAAACAUAUCCGUUGGUUGAAAUAGGCUGAAAGUGAUUGUAAGACUAUGGGUGAACCAUAACAUUCACAUGGGUUGAAACAUAUACCUAGGGCGGGGCACACUGCUGUGUAUGAUAUGUGGUAUUUAUGGGAACUCACUAAACUUUAUGUUUACGGUUUUAAGUUUAAAUUAUUUCAGAUUUUCUUAUAUUGAAGGAAGGCACGACCUGAUUACAUCGCAUCUAUUGAAGAUUUCUGCAUUUAAUAACUCUUAUGUCUAUACCUUGAUAAAUGUUUUGAAUCAAACAUUUAUAUUUGGAUCUUUGAAGUUCUAAUUAGAAUAAAUGCUUUUAAAUUUUAAAUGAAAAUUUUGGUUUGAAAUUUGGGACGUUAUAAUAUACCCUUAUGUUUUGUCCAAUUUUUGUUUAGAUAUCUUUCCAACUAAGUGUUUGUAGGUGACACUUGUGUUUAUCAAACUGAAUAUCAUUUGUGUAUAGUAGUGGGGACCUUGGUAUGCAGAGUAAUGAUGUUUUAUUCAUCUUUUACAAUAUUCAUCUUUUAUGUAUCUAAACACACUUCCAUCUUAACUGGUCAAUCGAGGGAAGAAUAUGUCGAAAUAUCUGUGACAUGCUUUGUUAAGGUCAGUAAAGCCAUUACACAUGUGUAAUGUGUCUAACUUUUAAACAAUGACAUGCUUUGUUAAGGCCAGUAAAGUCAAUACCAAGGUAGGGAAUGAAAUUUCAACACAUUGUUGUUGUUUUGGUGGUAUUUGGGAUGAAAUUCUUGAUUUGGAGUCCAACCAUCCGAGGUUCGAGAUGCUUGAUAGGAUUUUAGUAUGUACGGAUUGUAUUUCCCAUUGAUGUCAUCUUCUUUUUUUAUGUAUUGAUUUACCUAUUUGAUAAGCUCUUAUCUAGCUUUGGCGUUCUUUUCAAUUAGUUUACUACAUUGACAGGCUUUGUUGAAUCUGGAAAUGCAAUUGGGGAUCGAAUCCCCUUCCUAUAUUUGUCCUACCUCUAAUGCUAUUAGGGGCUAGGAAUUUCAUCUAGAAUUGGAAGGAUCUCUUUAGUGUGUUUUUGAUAUACAUACAUCAGAAUCGUUGAUCCAACUUGAAGGACUCCAUAUGAGCUUCGUACAUCUUAACAUGCACCAAGAUAUGUGGUCUCAUCAUACAUCUUUACAUGAGGCAGCCUUGUGUCAUUCAGCUAAGUAUCUGAUCUGAGAGCUUGGUACUUUAUAUAUGACAUAAGGAUGUCGAGCUCCAUAUAUCCUAAGGUAUUGGUUGAGCAACUUGCCUUCAUGAAUGAAGUGUUAUUGACCGGUGAUAGGGGCAUUCAAAAAAUUGAAUCCAAUAAUCCGAUCUGAACAUAUAGAAAUCCAAUCUGAAAUUAUCGGAAAUACAAAAAAGAUAUAGUUUUAAUUUGGGCUUUUGUCCAUAUAAAUAGUUAUUAUCUUUGGGACUAAGAUAUCUUAUGUUCUAGUUUUAGAGUUUUUACUUAUUUUACUUGUUAUUUGUAGGCAUUAACGCUAGGUUUUUACUUUUUCGAUUUUAACAUUGUUAUUUUUUUAAUUCAAACAUUGUGUUUUUCAAUGUUAACUAUUUUCCUAGUUUCCGACUUGUCACUCAUUGAUGAAAUGACAUGACGACAUGUCACUAUUUAUGACGUCACUUUUCGAAUGUCAAAAUUGAAAAAAAAAUGACUUUUAUACAAUUUGGUCUCAUAAACAUAAACAUAAUGUAAUUGUGACACUAAUCAUAUCAUUCUCAACGUCGCAUCUUGAAAGAUGAUGCUAGUAGGCAUAGCAACUAAGGUUUACGAGGCAAUGUGAAUUUAAAAGUGGCUACCCAUAAUAUCCAAUUUCGAAUCCAUAUCCAAAUCCAGACAUGAUCACAUGGAUCGUGGUCACACUAUCCCUGGUGAAGCUUCUUCUAUCGUCCAUGAAAACUAUAUUUCAUAGAGUAGUAUUAAUUAUGACAAUUUCAUUAAAUUCAUUAUCUUCCAACCAGCUAAAAGACUUUCUCCCUGUAAUUGAAAAGGUACCUACUAUUACUCAAAUUAUUCACAAAUGGCAUAUGCAUGUCGCUAUUUAAGUAUACACAAUGUCACCGUUUUGAAAAUUGAGUCGACAUUCAGAGGAGUGAAUAGGGGGGCUGCCGGAUGCUUGGCCACCCCAAUCACUUUUAAAAUUGCAGUAAUAUUGUAGAUAAAAAGAGUUACUGAUCACUAAACUUUGGCCCACAUUGAAUAAUUAAUAACACUUAGCCCUUUCCAAUUAUUUAAAAAAACAAUUAUCAUAUAUUAGAAAACAUUUAGUUAAUGAAGUUAGUAUGAGAAUUGUCUAAACUUGAGGCCCAGUUUCACUUUAAUUCUUUAAAACAACGGCAUCGCCCUAUUUAUUUUAUUUUUAAUUGACUAUUUUGAUUAAUAUCUCAUUUAUAUCAAUCCGUAGUAGCUAUAUUAUCCCCAUUUGUUUACAGCUAUAUUACCACCAUUUAUUUAUAAACAGUGUGGGUUAAUCGACGAUUAUUAAGAGUCUAAGCGUAGCUAUUUUUAUUCGUCGAAUUGGUUAGCUUUCAAUUAACAGAUUGUUUUCGUCUAUACUGAAACGAUUUCAAUUCUUUAAUUAAAAAGGUAAAUUUUAUUUCUUAUUGCAUAUGCUAUUUAAUAAUACUUCUAAAUAAUAAUUUAAUUAUAAUUUGAUAAUUUGGUUUAUUAUAAUUAUAGGGUAAAUUACGAGCAAGAAAAGAACCAUUGAUUCUUUUUUUAAACGAAUAGAUGAUACAUGUGAGCCUCAAUUGCAUCCGGUUAGUGAUAAUACUAAAUAGGAUAUUCAUAAUGCACACCCACAACCUCAUAGGAAUAAUAACAUGGAAGAGUACUAUAAUAUUGAACCAGAAUAAAAUGAUAUUUCAGAUGUAGGAGGGGUAAAAUUAGAUUUUUUGAUUCAUAAUCCAGGAAAACACGACAUUCAAUCUUAAGCUAUCCAACUACUUAAGUAACCAACAUGAUAAGAUUAGACGAUUAUGUAUUAAACUUAGACCAUAGCAACUUCAAAAAUUAAAGUAUCCAUUAGUGGCCUUAUGGAUCUAUGCGCAACCCCGUUAUUCUUAAUUCAUGGCUCCGCCCCUGUCGACAUUGAAAUAUGACAGAUGUUGAUUGAGAUGAACGACAAAUAUAAAUGGAGUGGUGAUUGAGGAUGUUCAAUUGUUCAUAUCACACGUGAUUAUAUGAAAUACACAAGUUAUUGAUCAAAUAUCAUAACCUUCUAUACUAUACGAGAAUCUAAUCAAAAUCAUUUAUCUACCUAACUAAAAGUAUGAGAAACUAAUAAAACCUUAAUAAAUCCUUAGUUUUUGAAAUUAAAAUUUAUAAAUUAUCAGUGUUACAUGUUUUCAAUCAAUUAUAUAAGAAGCAUAUAUAUAUAUAUAUAUAUAUAUUCUGAAAGUACACGUCAACGUGAUCCCGAAAAUAUAAAUUUUGUAGAAAUCCGAAUUCGUAUGAAUUAAUUAUGCAUUUUAGAAGAUAUAAAAAUCAAUCGCGCACACAAAGUUACAAAGACGNGGCAGCAAGUUGUUUCCUUAAGGCUGCAAGUUCUUCCCCAGCAUCACACACAAAUGCAGAAGCUUGCCUCCCUGAUAAAGUCGCCCCUUCCAUACUGUCUAUAUAAUCCUGAAUCAAGUCAACAAUACCAGUCAACACCCAUCCAAAGUUUGACUUUUACAACCGUUGACUAUUCAUAUAAAAAAAAUGAUUAAAAGAAAAUGGUGAACACCUGUUUUGUAUAUGAGCCAGCUAGGAAGAAAUUCUUGACAGGUGUCUUCUGAUCAGGCCUAAAUGGAUCUUUACCGGGUCCCUCUCGAUACAAAGAUUGACCAAUCUUGACCACUGAUGACCAUGUAACUUCCAGACCUUGGGAAGAUGGGAAUAGAGCCAAAACCUAAUACAUCACAUAAAUUAAAAACUUAUAAGAAUUUAUUUUAAUAAUUAAUAAUAAUGUUUUACAAAAAGUGGUGUUUACCUGUUUUUCAACACGGCUUAUAAUCUCUUCAUUUGGUAAAGGCAUGUAUGGGUCCCCUGGAGUCAGCACACAUCUGCAUAGCAAAAGAGUGAGAAGGAAUGGAAUUGAAUAAGGAAUGGGAAUGACUGAUUCCAAUCCUUACUGGAGCAAUGAGCCUUGUCCUUCAAUGUAGUAAUCUUCAGGAGAAGCGAGUGCCAGGUCAGCAAAACAGGAAAAAUCUGCAUCUGGGGUGUAAAGUAGAUUGUCCAACCCUGUUGCUUUCCUCGAUUGCCUACAUAUCAAAAGUAAUAACUUAGUUUUUAUAUGUAUAAAAUGAUAAAAAUAAAUAAAUAAAAAUUCCAGGUCACCUAGAACGUUCUAGAUCCUGCAUUUCUGUUACCCAACCGUUAUAUCUGAGUUGUACUGUUACAACUGGAACACCAACUAAUUUGUAGAUAUUAUCAAAGAAUUCCCAUUCCCUCCAAUUUGAAGGCAAUAAUCUUUUAAUUCCAGGGACAUCACAUGCUGCAUUUUUCAUGGAAUUUUUUUUUUAUAUAUAAUAUAAUAUAUUUGUUGGAUAUAAAUGUAAUAUAAAUAGAUACAAACCUGCUAUAUAUACAUCUGCCUUUACUGUUUUCUUUUGAGUAGCCUGGAAAACACAAAGACAAUACCAUAAAUAAUAGGGAUUUUUUUAAUUUAAUGGUUAGAAAAUGUAAACUGAAGUAAAUUUAAAAAUGGUUCUUAUGGAAGUAACACUAAAAAGAGAACUUUUAAAGUGGAAGUAAAGUCAACAUCACUUUGUUUUAUUUCAUUAAAAUACUUUCUUGAUUAGUCUCGUUCUCAUUAAUGAAUUUAAUAAUAAUGGUGCUACUGCUAUCAUGCACUAAAUCUUGAUCCACUAGUAUCAUGCCAGAUUGCACAUAUUAAUUGUAAAUAACUAAAUACAAAUAAUAAUAAAAAAAAACACAAAACCCCUAAAUCUACAAAUACUAAAGAAAAAGAAUGUACCUUAGACAUGGCAAGCCCUGUAACAUAUGUGUCACCAUUAGCCGACUUGUCAUACAAAAUCUCUCUGCAUCCCCAUCUCAGAUGAAACCUGAAAUGAAUUUGUGUAAAUUGUUUGUUGGAGUGCAAGGGUAAUAUGGUCUAUUCAGACAAAAAAAAAAGAAACAACUUUUAUGUAUCCAGCUCUUUAUCCAUAUGGGGAACAAGGAAACAAAGCCCUAAAGACCAGAUGAUAAAGUGAUUUACAUUUAUAGUGGGAAAUAACUUUUUGUAUUAUUCUUUUGGUGGAUGAUUUGUGUUGAAAUUAAAUUAAGUAACUUUAUUUAAUCAUACCUUCCUCCUUUCUCUAUAAUAUAAUCUCUGAUGGGCCCACUAAGAUACACAUCAGGGGAUCCCUUAAGCAUACGCAACAAGGAAGCCUCUGUCUUGGUUGCAAACAAUGAGAAAAUUGUGAGCAUACAACGUGCACUGAUAUUAUCACAAUCAAUAAAUCCAAGAGCAUAAGCAACUGGGUCCCACAUUCUCUGAAUACUCUUACGUGUCCCCCCUUUAGACAUAAACCAUUCAGAGAAGCUAACCUAUAAAUUAAAAAAAAAGUCAAGAAAGUCAAAAAGGAAAUGAAAGCAUUUGACUUUUUACAAAAAGUUCUUAGUUCUUACAUUAUCAAGGUUUCUUAUUUGUGUCAUUGCUCCAUCAGGGUCAACAAGAGCCCUCACAACUGGACUUAGAGCAAGAGCCAAAGCAUUUCUUGCUUUAUCAUAUGUCUGCAUAGUAAUAUAAAAGAUGAGAGAAUGUUUAAUGAAGGAGCAUUAUAAUUAAAAGGGUAUUUAGGUCUUACAUUAAGCUGAUUUGUGGUUAAAAAUGCGUUAAUUCCAUGUAAUGGUGCUCCAACAGGGAAGCGGAAAUCAAGUUCUGUAGUUGGUAUAUAACAGUAUUGAUUAUAUUAUGUAACAAAAAUAUGUUAAUUUUAAGAUUUUGUGAAAUAAGAUUCAAAAAUUACCACCGAGUUCUCCUCCUCUGUUUACAAAAGUGUGAGUGUGAUCUUUGACAAGGAGAUUCUUUUCAGCUCCAACCUAAGUUACAUACAAAGCCAAGAAAACUUAUCAGAUAAUCAUUACAUUCAUUUUCUGAUUUCAGAAUCUGAAAAUGGUCAAUCACUAGAGUAAAAAGCUAAGUAUUUAUUAUUUGACCUUUUUCAGAAGACGAAAAAGAUUAUUGUAGCAUCCAAAGAAAACAUGUAGUCCCAUUUCAAUGUGGUUUCCACGUUUAUCAACAAAAGAACCCACUUUUCCACCAAUGAAAGUCCUUGACUCGUAUAUAUCCACCUGUAAGAUUAGAGAAGUUCAAGUAUGGUGAAAAUAAGAAGAAAGUGAGCAAUGUGUAGAGGGGUAAGUAUGUAAUUUUUGUAAAAACCUCAUGCCCUUGAUCCAAAAGCUCCACUGCAGUUGACAUGCCAGCAAGGCCAGCACCUAUGAUAGCCACUUUCAAUUUAGGCCCCCGAUAAUGUUCAGGUUCUGGUGGAAAUAAUCCUUUUGGAGCUGAUAAUAUAGUAAUACAACAAAGAAAGAUGAACUCGAUGCCAUUUCAUGUUUCUAAAGAAGGAAGAUGAAGAAAUAAAGUAACCAUUACAGAUGCUUAUGCAUGUACAUUAGGCACUCUCAUAGUUUUAUCCCAGUACAUGUCAAAAGUCAAAACGAAUGUGUAAAAUAAAGUAGACAUGAAAUUCAUGUAUAUAUAAUCACUGUUGUAAUAUCAUUGCCCAUUGAUUCUAUGCAUUUAUCGAAAUUUAGGAAUAGGUGUAAGAAUUUUGAGCCGAAAUUUGUUAGAAGAAAAGUCAACAGAACUUGGACUCGCCGCCCAUAAACUCCAAAAAUUUCUUCCCAAUUUGAAGUCUGUACAAGAUAACAGGAUUGAGGAGCGUAAUAAAAAAUGAGCAUAUGAAACUUUCCUAAACAACAUACCAAUGAUCAUCAGGUGAUCAGAUUGUUGAAAAUCUGUCCAAUAUCAGUGAAUAAAAAAAACAAUCAUACUCACUCAGUUCUAAAAGGAAAUACAACAAAUACGUCAGAUAUGAAACUUUCUAACAAAUAGUGUAUGAAAAUCUGUAACAAACUGUAUGUCGUAAUUGAAUUUCGUAAGUAAUUAAGGAAGAAAUCAACAGAAUUAGCUACUAUUAGAGACUAAAUUACAGCCUAAAUUCCAAAAGCACAAAUCCAGACUAGUAUUACUGCUACUAAUCAAAACAAAGAACACUUAAAACAGACGUACAUCACAAAUUUAUCCAAAAAUUACCAUUAGUUCUCAUGUCUGAUACAUCUCUGUCCAAAUCCGACCGAACAACCGACUUGUGAGUCUUCAAUCGGGUCAAUUGACGGCUCCGGCGACAUCGUAAGAAUGUAUCAGUAGUGGGAAAAGAAUUACGGGUUCCGGCAGUAGAAGUGGCCGGAAACCACAGAGAAGAGGUAGAUGAGGUAGAUGAAGUAGCCAUGUAACUAACUUAACAAGUUAACAUGCACAAAACCACCCCUCUUUUGUAUUCUCUAUCCGAAAAAGAUAGAGAAUUGAGUGGGGUUUGAAGCUUUAAAUUAGAGAAAAAGAAUCUGAAAUUGAGGAGAUGCUGGUGGUGUUGGGUUUGUCACGGCGUUGGAACUAACGCACCAUGACAAGAGAUACCGUCUAUCUGUUGGACAAAAUCCUUAAAUAUUAAAAAUACAAAAUUUCAAAAAUGAACCUUGUGGUUUUCGAAAAAUGUCAAGGUAAGGAUAACUUUUAAAAACGCUUCAAGAUAGACCUAUGGUAGCAAAAAGUUGCAACUUUAGUCCUUUUUAAACAUUUUGUUAGUAAAUUUUGGUUAAAUAUACAUAAAAUGAAAAGUUUAGCCCUUAUAUAAAAGUCAACACAUACUUUAUCCUUUACUCUCUUCUCUUCUCCCCUUAUGAAUGGUGGUUAAGAUGGUGGUGGUGGUGAUAAUGGCUGAAGGAGUUGGUGGUAGUGGUGGAUGAAGGUGAUGAUGGUGGUGGUGAUAUUAAAGUGGUUGUGGUCAUUUAGGUUGAAGGCGGUGAUGGUGAUGGUGGUUGUUAAAGUUGGUGUUGACGCAUGGUGAAGGCGAUGAUGGUGGUGAUAUCAAUAGUUAAAAGGCACUGAUUGUGACUGAAUUCGUUGAUUGACGAUUGCUAAAAGUGGUGUUGGUGUAUGUUGAAGGUGAUGGCAAAGGCUGAAGGAGGUGACGGUGGCGGUGGCUGAAGGCCAUAAUUAUGGUGGUGGUAAUAGUGGUUGACGGUGGCGGUGGUGGUGGUGUUGGUUAAAGGAGGUAAUGGUGGUGGUGGUUGUAGUGGCUAAUGAUGGCAGUGAUAGUGGUGGUUGUUGAAGGUGUUGCUAUUGCAUAUUGAAGGCAAUGUUGUUGGUGGUGGCAGUGGCUAAAGGCGGGUGAUUGUGGUGGUGGUUAAAAAAUGAAACUUGCAACUUUUUAAAAACCAUAAGGACCAUUCUCAAAUUUUAAAAACCAUAAGGACCAUUCUCAAAUUUUAACUAGGAAAUAUUGGUUAUUAAUAAAAAGAAAAAGAAAAAAAAAAGUAACGCUUGACGAUUAGACAUAAUGUUAAAAAUACCAUUCAUGACAUUUUUUUUUGAAACCGCACUGUAUUUAUGAAACGUAUUUAUGAAGCGUAUAUUAAAGUUAGCUUCACUUUACCAUUUUUUAGAUACCAUAGGGACUAUUUUUGAAAUUUUAUCAAUUAAAAAUUAGAUGGUUACUAUAAUCUUGUUAUUGUAAAUAUUAUUUAACGUGUUAGUUAUUAUAUAAAAUUCAGGAAAGCAAAAGAAAUAUCCAUACCCUAACUAACCAUUAUUUGUUUUUUAGAUGAUUCUACACUUUUGAGGAAACAUGGGUGUGGUAUAUGUAAAGAUUUGUAGCCCAAAUUAAUUUAUAUAUUAAUUUGAAUGUUUGUUUAUAUUUGUAUGAAUUAGACUUUGUAUUUAUUUGAUCAGGUUUUAUGGUUUGUGACUACGUGUUUUGUCACCCUCAGGGCCUCAAUCUCCACUAUUAAGUUCCAAUCAAUAAUGAUGAUUGACGAAAUUAAUAAAAUGGGCAUAUAUUUUAAUUGAAGGUGGGGAAAAUCUUUUAUAUAAAUUAUUUUAUAACAAAGAAAUUGAAAAAGGAAAAUUGGUAUCUACGAAGUUAAGAGUGAGUACGAGUUUGGUGCGAUGUGGCAUUGUGGUCGGCUUCAUAACCACUAUUAUUUAAUGGGUAACAAAAGAACACAUUUUCAUUUUGGCAUUUUUCCCCAUUUGUUUUUAGAGAGGCAGUGGGAAAAAAACUCAUUUAUUAUAUGUCUAUUUUCAUAACUUAGAUUGAAGUUUUGGUUUGUUUAAAAUUAUAAAUUUAGUCUUUUAGCUAGUUUUGUAAUAUUUUCAUCAUUAAGAUCUAGUUUAAAGUUUUCAGUAUUCCUCCUAUUGAAUCUUUUAAAUAAGUUCUUUUAUUAUCAUUAUCAUAUAUUUAUUUGCUCUCAUUUGUCAUCUAGUGUCUUGUGCAUCGGAAUCUUUGAUCGAUGGGUUGUUCUUUUUGUUAUUUGUUUGGCAUCCGUCUUGUUCAUGUAACAUCCAUUAUCUGGGAGCAAGAGGUUUUAAUUAUGAAGUGUGAUUUUUAUCAAAUAAAUCAAACUAAAUAAUAAUUGAUUACAAUUAUGAAUUUAGUUCAUUUGAAGUAAGUAAUCUCAAAUUUUAACUAACAGAAAUGCUAGAAUUAAAGUAAAAACCUUAGAGAUUUGGAGUUGACUUUUCAACCAUGGAAACUUAAGGUAAUACUUAUGACUUAAUCUAUUUUAUUAGAUUUGGACUUAAAUCGUAAGGAUAUGUGUUCAAAAUAUAAGUUACAAGACGAGGGAUGUUAACUAGAAAAUCAUCUUGGGUUAAAUAAAAAAAUUAGAAAGUUCGAGUGGCAAAUUUUACCAAUUGUUGAAAGAUUGAAAGUGAACCCCAAUCGUACUAUUUUAUCCCUUUGUAACAAUUUCUCUGGGAUAUAAUCUUUCGAUUUUAAACGAGUUUAGUGCAUCAACAAGUUCAUAUUUCAUACUAUUGUGGUGCAAUAUGGGAAUAUUAGCAUAUGACAUAACCAAACGCUAAACAUUUGACCAUAUUGCAUAUUGAUUGGAUGAAUGGAAGAGGUAAGAGACCCUGUAAACAAGAAUAUUAUUAUCAAAUCAAAUUGAUUGGAAAUAAAAGUAACAUGGAAGACCGAUCUUUCGAUUUUUUUUUGUGAACCGGCAAAUGUAAUCUACUCUUAAGCUAACAUUUAAUUUCACUUAUAUCUAGGACGGGACUUGAACCCUCGACUUCAAAGAGAGAGGGUACCACCUGAUACCGCUAGGCUAGAAGCCUUUUGGUAAGCAUAGCCUAUCGGAAAAAAAAAUGCAAAUGCAUUCUUGAGAACAUUAACCGAGAUUCUCACAUUUCUACAUCAAGUUAUUUUUAGCACACCUCAUGUCAUUAUAAGCAAACUUUAUAUUUCACAAGUCUUUAAACGUUACGUGGUCUAAUAAAUUUGACUCGCAUGAAUAUGGUGUGUCGUCUCAUACUUUAUUACGCUAUUUUACUUCUGUCCUAAAACCUUCAAGGUUUAAGUACAUAUAUCCAUGUAAAUUGGACCCGAUGAAUGAGAAUACUUCUAGUAUACAUCAUAUUAUUACAUCACAUGACCUCGUCAAUAUAUGGGAUGUUUCACAUACAUCUCAAGUCGUGAAUCUAUGUAUUUAAGAAAUUUUCAUUAUAACAUCGUACUUUGCCAAAAUGCAUAUUCAAGCAAUAUAUUAUCAUUGAAGUCAAUAUUAUCACUUGGGCAUAUACUUCACAUACCAAUUUAUAUUACUUCAGUGUUGCUUCUUACCAUAAACCCAUCAUAUAGAGGAUUUCAUCUUCAGUUCCUGACGUUGUUAUUUUAGCUAUUUAGCUAUUUUGUGGAAGUUUGAGUUCUAUUUACAUAUUUCACCUAAUUUAUUAUCCAUUCAUGUCCAUAUUACCCAAUUAUGGUAAUGUACCUCAUUUUUUUUCAUACAUCCUCAUAAAACUUACAUAUAGGCUUCGCCUUUAGUAAAUUUAACACCAUAAAAAUUUACAUAUAAACUACCAGGUAGCAUGAGUAUCAGGCAAUCCCAUCAUGCAAUUCUUCAUGAUCCUUAGCCUAUUUACUAGCAUGUAGUUCUAUCAAUUCACAUAUCAACAGAUAUUCAUAUAACAAGUGUAGGUAUCUUGGGGGAUCACUUUCCUUUAAGCUAGCUCCAGCUGACUCUACACAUCACAUCCUCUUUUUCCUUUUUAAAUUUUAUCUAAAAAUAAUAAUUGUAAAAGUUUUGUAGAUACUUAGUUUGGGUUUGGAAUCACACAAGUAUUCAUCCAAAUCCCUCAAACCAGAGCUCUGAUACCAACUUGUAACGCCCAAAAACCAUGGUGAAAAUUUUCAAUUUUUAAAAUGAAAUAAAAGCCAUUUCCAUAGAAACCAGCACCAUCAAAAUAAUUGUUUUACAACACGGAAUUAAAAUCAGAGUAUCAUAUCAUAACAUCUCUUAAAAUCAUGAAAAUUGUUGGACAGUGUGUACAGUUACGCCUUCGCUCUCCCUUGAUCCUCAGAAGUACCUAAAGCAUUUAAAGCCACGAUUGUAAGUCAAAGCUUAGUAAGUUCCUUAAAAUACCCCACACAACAAUCAUAACACUUGUGCCCUGGUAUGUGCCUUAUGACCCUUGAGUAUUCAAUAAUUUCAUUUUGGUCCCUGAAGUAGUACGCGGGGUGUACCACUUGGUAUGCUUAGCGUCUGGUUGAGAAGCUAGUACGCGGGUCGUACCACUUGGUACGCUUAGCGUAUUGGGUUGGUGGCGAGUCGGGACUUAGGUCAUGUACAUUGAGCAUACGCAUGCGUACGUUGGGCGUACAUAGACUUUAAUGAAACCCAAAUUGGGAAGUUGCACCCUAUUUAAGCAUUCUUAUCUUCUGGGGCUGGCCUAUUUACCAGCACCUAAAGCCUCUAAAACCCUAAAACGAGUUGUAGCCUCCAUUGUCAAGCAUUUGAGCAUUUGAAGAGAGUUUGGUGUUCAUUUUGUUCAUUGUGAAGGAGUUAAAAGAUCUUGAAGUUGCUAAGUUUGGAGAAGGAAGUCUUGGAUCCAGAACCACUACCCAAUUUUCAAGAAGUUUGAGGUAUCAAGUUCUUAUCUUGGUUGCUAGAUGCUUAGAUCUCUUUUUGGGUUAAAUAGUUAUGUUUUUAGCCAUGGUUUGGAUAGAUGUUGGGAUUAGGACGUCCCAAAGUCUUAUUCUUUCAUAUCAAAGGUCUUCAUGGGCUCCUUAGGCAUAAAGGUGUCAGCUUUAUGGAGUUUAGGGGCCUCAUGCACUCAUUAAGUCCUUUUUGAGCUUUAGAGCUUCUUAUGGUCAUGAAUGGACGUAAAGUUAGCAACUUUACGUGAUAAUUCAACUUAAUGAGGUUAGAUCUACACUCUGGGGUGAAGUCUUAACUAGUUAAGUGCUUAAAGUAGAAGGUGGCUGAUUGGGUUGAGUACGCUAGGCGUACAAGCCCUCGAGCCAGUACACUUAGCGUACAAGCUAAGUACGCCUCGCGUAUUCAGUUAGGUGGCCAUUUGAUGUUGGGCUUUAGGGUUGGACCUUGUUUUGGGCAUAGAAGGAUAUGGGUUAGUUGGACCAUCUGAUUUUGGGAGUUUUGGGCCAGGAGCAUUAUUGGGCCUUGAGUUAGGGCCCAUGAGAAGGGAUUUGGGCCCAAUUAGAGAUUGGACCAUAUUUGGGCCUUGAUGGAUUGUCUGAUUUUUAAGCCCAUUGGAUUGUGGUUAUGGGCUUCAUUCUUGGAUCAAGCUAGGUUAUAGGUAAAAUGGUCUUUUACCCCGAGUAUGGAUUUUUGGUUAUGAUUUAGAUCCCAAUUGUUAAUUGGUUUUAUUUGGCAAUUGAUAGCUUGGGGAGUUAUAGGAUCAGCAGUCAGGGAUCAUUCAUUUCAUUCAGAUUUUCGAGGUGAGUUUCCUCACCGGGUUUAGUGGGUCGAAGGCACCAAUAUCGGCCCAUGUUUAUGCUAUGUUAGUAUGCUAGUUGUUUGCGUGACUCUUGCAUGUAUUAUGUGUUUAUAUUCUUAUCGGGCUAGGUCCCGAUUACCACUUGUAUGUUAUGUAUCUUUGUGAUUAUUGAAUGUUCUUUUUGUUAAUUGAUAUAUGUUAUAUGUGUGUUAGGUGUGGCCCGAACUAUUACCAAACAGGGCCCGAUGCCGAGUGGGGCCUGAUGUCGAACGGGGUCCAAUGUCGGGCGAGGCUCGAAGACAGGGUAGGGCCCAUUAUAUGUUUAUUUGUAUGUAUGGUAUGUGGUAUUUUGGGGAACUCACUAAGCUAUGUGCUUACGGUUUUUAGCUUAUGUUUAUGGUACUUCUGGUUCCAAGGGGAAGAGCUCAGAUUGACUGCAUUGCACACACUGUAUGGGUUUUACUUUUGGGACACACUCUGAUUUUCAUAAUGUUUGAUAUACUUAUUUUCUGGGAUGUAUGAAGAAUGCUCUGGAAUAUUGUUUAUUUAAAAUCUAAAAUUAAGAUUUUUUGGUUCAUAUUUUUGGGAUGUUAUAAGUUGGUAUCAAAGCCUUGGUUUGACGGAUUCGGGCACACUCUUGGGUGUGUCUAAACUCAAACCGAGGAUUUGGUAAAGUUUUCAAAAAGAAACAUAUUUUAAGAAAAGUUUUUUUAAAAUAAUAAAGGGUAUGGUGCAUGCAAUCAACCGAGCUCAUGUAAUUUUUCCCAAAAUACGCAUACAUGUUAUUUGAUAUGCUAUGAUAUGUGAAUCUGUGAAUCACAUGCUAGUUAGGGCUAAGGAUUUGCUCAGUUUCUGUAUGAUAGAAUGCUAGGAGAGAUGCCUUUGUAUGCGUGUUGUAUGAGCUUGUAGACUUGCAUGCUAGUACUGAUCAGUCAGUGAUAGGUUGGCCUGACUAGGUUAUUCUUGGUCUCGAUAGUUGAUGCUCGAAUGUUGCUUGCUUUGUGCUUUUUAGAAGUUCUAACUAGCUUCAGCUAACUAGUAAAUGAAUAUGCUAAGUUACAUAUUAUGGGAACUAAAUAAUUUUAGAAGGUUGGGUUUUAACUCUAUUGUGCGCCUCUUAUUUAAGUCCAACCGUUGUAGUGUGAGACCUCUCAUUCGAAUAAUUAUCUAGUUUUAGUGAUAUGUAAUGGUAUUUGUGAGCUAGUUAGAGGAAGUUAGCGGGAGUUCUUUCUGCAGCUAAUGGCGGAGAGUGGUGUGGAUUUGCCCUAGGAAAACCUAGGAUGAGAUCUAGUGUUGGGAGCCUUAUUUGUGAGGGGAAUUAUUGGAUAUAAAGUAACUCGGUUGAGUUAAGGCACUUCUUAAGGAAAGUACAGAUAGAUGUGGAAGGUAGUAUGGGCCCAUACUACUGGAGUAGAGGAUCCGUACUUGAUUCAAGGAGGGUUGUGAUGAAGCCAUGGAGCUCGUGGAGUUGUGAUUCCCUAAUUUUUAUAUUUCGAUGCGUAUUUUGAUUAUUUGUAUUGGUCUAUUUUCAGUAUGGUGGUAUUGCAAGGCAGACCAGUCAGCAGUUCUGGUAUUAAGGAGGGUUCGAGAUCAGGUUCUAGAGCCGGGAAGCUUGAUGACUAGACGAGAUAGUUCAUCUCGUUUAAGAUUACACGCAGUAUCCUUGAGCAGAUAUAGUUGUGAUUUAAUCGAGUAUGUAAUACGAGAUCAGAGUUUAGAAAGAAUUAAGAACACAAUAUCUAAAUAUAAUAUGUAUGGCUCGAUUACGCUUUGUGGAAAUACAGAGAAAAUUCAGAGAGUACAAUUCGAACGCAAAAGCUACUCCCCAACUCUAGUAUUCAUCCCAUAUAUAUAGUGAUAAUGAAAGCGUACAAAAAAUAUAAGGGACUAAGACACUUAAGCUUUAAUACAAAAUGCCCUUAUAAUAAACAACAUACAAAUAAACUUCGACACAUACAAUGACUCAGACAAACUUUAACACCUCACAACAAUUUUCGAACUCAACAUUCUCCCCCUUUGUGAGAAGUGUCGAAUCUAAGCCAUCAACAUCUGAGCUGCUUGAUGUAUCACCCUUUGAAUCUUAAAGUACCAAUUGAUCACCUUGCAAAUUUCGGCUUUGUCUCCAUCACUAUUCUUUGCACAACUAUUCAUUCGGACAACAAUAUUUGUAUAGUGAGGAGUUGUAUAUCUUUCCACGUCGCAGGCUUGAAACAAAAACUUUGUAUUCUUUCCCUUUUUGUUCUUUCAAACAAAUACUAUCCCAAGAGGCUUAAAACAAAUUUCACCAUCCUCAUAGCUCUUCAAACUAGCUUGACUUUUUAACAUUGAUUGUGGCACUGUGAUCUUUUUUCCAACAACCAAAGCUAAUUUGACAUCAGUUAAAGCAAGGUAUUCAUAAUAACUGUCUAUGAAUAACUUGAUGUGAGCAAAUACGAUCAAGAAAUAUUAUGUGCUUGUUAACUGAAGCUUUGAGACAUCAGUUCCCUUCAGAAUUCUUGCAACACAAAUUAAGUCAUGAAUAUUCAUUAGAGGGAAGUCAGCCACCGAAAAAACGAAAGCGAUGUUGUUUUCUCUGACAGCAUGAAAUCGAUAAUUCUGCAACACCCCCUUGAACAAAACAUCCUUGGAAAUGCUGAGAACUCGAAUUAUCUUGACCAACGACCAGAUCUCCUCUUCCCUAUUUCCCAGAACAACGUGAAAUCGAAUCUUCAUUCUUUUGAAUUCUUCUUUGUCUUCGAAUUUAUCAGCAAUCUGAUACUAAGAAGCCAUGAACCUCAUUUUGUUAAUACGAAAAUCCAACUGAUUGAAAUUAGUAUUUUUUGUGGCAUAGCUCUUCUUGGGAAUUUUCUCAAAGUCAUGCAUUUCUCCAUUAACCACCAAAGCUUCAAUAUUCCCAUAGCAAUAGUGCUUCGAAGUAUCUCCCUUGUCAAGACUAGGAGGGUCAUUUUUCCUUUGUCGAAGAAUGCUCUGAAUUUUCCUUUGUUUCUCCAUUUCCUUUUCAACUGCAGCCUUUUUUCUUCGGCAGUGGGUUCUGUAGAGAUACCUUUUCCUUUGUUUUUCAUCUCUUCUGUUGAUGGAAGUGGCUUUGACGAACUUGAACCUCCAACAUCAGAACCAAUUACAUCUCCUUUUGUUAAGGGCUUUGUUGUUGUUGUUGUUGUUGUUGAAGUAAUUGUAGAUGAAGUCUUUGACAACGAAGUGAUAAUUUGAGUAGAAAUGAUUCCCAACUACUUUCGCAUCAUCAUCUCCUUUCGAAGAACCACUUCCUCCCAUACUGGCCUUCGAAGCCAUGCUCAUGCCAACACUAACUCCUUCUCCCCCUUGCACCCCUAUGUGAACAGGUGGGGUAUCUAUUGGCAUCAAAUUAAUGAGCUUCACAAGAGGAGUUAAUUUAGCCUAAGUCCUUAAGACUGUUCAACGAAGAUUCCGGAGUGAGCAAUGAAGAAGAUGAAGAACCAAUCUUCGAAACUAAGUCCUUAAGAUUGUUCAACGUCUCUUCGAUUUUGGUAAAACUCUGAACAUCAAGUUCAACCUUCUUAUCAACUUUCGGAAGGAACGACUGAUACCACUUGACCACAUACGUAACAGCAUCUGCAAUUAUAUCAUCUUUAGUGUGAAGAGAAGAGUAAUCAUUUGUAAUAGCUGCAACUUCCUUCUCCAUAUCAACCCUAAGUUCCUCAAUUUUUAGAUUGACAUCUUCCCGAACCUUUUUAACAUCUUAAAUAAACAAGAUGUGCCUUUCUUUUACAACAGCUGUCAAAUCCUUAAGCGCAUCAUUGAAAGUAAAAGACUGAGCCUUGACACGGUUCUCAUUGUCCAUGUCCAUUAUAUCCAAUUCAUUUCUUAAUCGAAGCUAUUGAGCCUUGAGCAUUACAUCGACUUCAAUUCCUGUCACAUAAUUCUGACCCCCUGCAUUAGCUUGAAGCUGCAAUACAGAAUUAAGCUUCCUGUUGAGAAUCUUGGAUUGUUUCCCAGACAUUAACAUGCGAUCAGUAAUAUUCUCCUCUUCUGGAUCGAAUUCAAUAUCAACAACAGAACCCAUAAAUUCACCAUCUUCGGUGGUUUCAUCUUCCUGAACUGUUUUGGGGCCUUCGGUGGAUUGUGAGGGGAAUAACGAAGUGAUGUGUUGAUUAAGGAUGUUUUCAAAAGUUGGUGAUUGUAUGGAUGGAGGUAAAGUGGUAGAAAUAGAAGUAUGGAAUGGUGGUAGAGAAACAUUGGUGUCAACGGUAGAUGUAUCGAAAGAAGAGGAAAUGAUAAUAGUCGAAGUACCUUGGGAUUCGUUGGUCGACACUCCUUCACCCAUAUUGACAUUUACGUCCAUAUGAGAUAUGUUCACAGUGAUGCCUGAAGUUCGAAACUCUUCGGAAACUAAUUCGGUAUGUGAAACUUCAGAUGGUAUGACAAUAGUCUUCUCAGGAGUGGAUAUCUUCGAAUGAUCACCUAGAUUAGUGGUUGUGUCCAUAUUAGAUGUUUUCACAAAGCCACCAGGACCUUCAGUCUCCUCAAGAUUCGACUUGAUUGGAGAGCCCCUCGUUGGUGAUGGAAUACCCAUAUCAAUAUCACGAGGUGGUGUUUGAGACUUACCACUUUCUUCAAAAUCGGACUCAGGAACAACUUCGUCCAAAGAAUCGUGAACAAUUUUUUUUCUUUUUUUGGAUAUGUGUUUCGCCAUAUUUUGAGCUCUUCGCUUUUUGGAUGCAGGGGAUACUGGAGCUGGAAUAUCUCGAAUAGAAACACCUUUUUCCUUUGCUAUUAAGUUGUGGCUUGUGAAUAAUCUCAAAAUUUCGCAUCUUUACCAUGUAGCAUAUCUGGGGAAUGUCGAGGCUUGUGAGCCAUUUUCUUCAAACGGUUUACCACCCCUGAAUUCGUAGGCAGAGUCUCCUUUGAUUGUGUAGUUUCUUCAAUAAUUGGUUGAGUAACAGGCUUGACAACUUUCUUCGGAGAAACUUUAACAACAUUCUCAACCGAUUCAGGACUAGGCUUCGAAGGACUAGCCUUAACACCUUUAGUAUAACUUUUGCUAUUUUUCGAUGGACCACCAACAACUUUUGGUAAUAACACACCAGUUUCAACCAAAGGAUUGACAGUUGUAAGAUAAGUCACAAAAACUGGAUUUCUAGGGUCAACUCUUCGAAGCAUCACAUCAGGAAUGCGUGUAAUCGAUGGAAACUGUGACAGCCUGAAAUUUAUUUCGUCACUGUAACCCGCUCUGUCAAUAAAACUCGUCUUUAUCGAAUUGUUCCGUUAACAUUUUGGAUUAGGUUAUUUAAAUUGAGACUUUUAUUAUGACUUCAUGAGUGUCCAAACGCAUUAGAAACACGUGAAACACCCUCGAUAUUCUUUUUAAAAGUUUCUAAUUCACGACCACGUCGGGUUACGACAACUUAAUCGGGUACGACUAUAAGCUCCCUUUAACGUCGGUAUUGGGUAGAUUUCCACCGGGCCACAAACUCAAACCCUGUAUAAGGGUGAGUGGACCUCCGUUUGAAUCUUUUCCAAUCUUAACACCCUCUCUCUCUCUCUACUCCCUCUCUAGAACUCAAAUUUUGAUCCAAUAUCACCUCUUUCAAGCUCCAAACUUGUAAGUAAUCUAUCCUAGCUUAUAGUUUAGCUUGUUUAGCAUGCAAAUCCAUGUUUAAAUCAUCCAAAAGUAUAAAAAUCAUGUGUUUACGGCCCUAGAACAUCCCCAAACCGUAAACACCCUUAAAUGGGGUUUUGGAGCCCCAAAACCCUUCCAAAUCACUUCUAGUGCUUAGCUAUGACUUAAGGGCUUGCAUGAAUGGACUUAGAACACCAAAAUCUUGUCAUUUGGGGAGUAAAGAUGAGUUUACGGCCCAAGAACAUUCUUGGACCGUAAACACUCAUUCUUAGGCCAUAAACACCUUUUAAGGUGUUAAAUUGCCCCUUAAACACCUCCUAUGGCUUGAUAUAAUGUCUAGAACCAACCACCAUCGAAGUAGGGACCCUAAACAUCAAGGAAACCAUGACCUUAGGAGAUUACGGCCAUAAACCCCCCAAGGAAUGGUCCCUUGGCCGUAAACUCCUCUAAGGAGGUCAAAUGGUGCCCUAACUUCCUUCCAUGGCUUGUAUAUUGGACUAGAAUCAUGUGUGCUUAACCUAGAACCAUCAAAACACAAAAAGAAGUGUCACGUAAGAGUUUACGGCCAUAAACUCUAUGUUUACAGCCGUAAACUCAUGUAAAUGGUCUAUUUGAAGACUUAGCCACUUCUUAUGCCCUAGACUUGAACCUAGCUUAUUUCCCCAAGUGUUGUAAGACCUUUAAACAUCCAAGAACACACCACCCAUGAGUUUAUGGCCAUAAACUCAUGGGGAUAUGGUCAUUGGGCCGAAAUCUCCUCUAAGAGUUUACCCUUGAAGAGUAAACUCCCUAUCCAAGCCAUACACCCCCUUAGAUGCAACCCAGAUCAUUCCUAACACUUGAGAUAAAGUGUUUUCGCAUCUCGGAGUGUAUUAUUUUACUUAAUUAGUAGUUCAAAGUCUAAUUAGAUACAGUUAUGUAUCUCCUCAUGUUACAUAGGAUCCUCGCGCGUGUUCAAGCCUUAAACUGACACUUAGCAUCCUACCCGGCACAUUUCUCGUCUGAUGAGUUCAUACCCCUACACUUUUUCUUGUGUGUUUUUCAUGUUUUCAGGGGGGAAUACAAGCAAAAGUACAAGGAAAUCUUGUACUCAAACUUAUUAUUUUGUUUGAAAUGUUUCAUAUUCCGUAUGCUUUUAACACUGAAAACUGUAUUAACCAACCAUUUAACUUGCAGAGUUAGUUUUCAAAUUAAUUGUGAAAUUCAUUAUAAAAUGUUGUAUUUUAUAUUGCACAGAUGAUUUUUCACAUCAUUACUGUUAAAAUCAUUAAUCUUAGAACUUUUGAUACGUCCUUGAUAACACUCCCCCUAGAUACGAGAAUGAAGAACCAAUAACAUUAAUCUUAGAACUUUUGAUACGUCCUUGAUAACACUCCCCCUAGAUACGAGAGUGAAGGACCAAUAACAUUAAUCCUAGAACUUUUGAUACGUCCUUGAUAACACUCCCCCUAGAUACGAGAGUGAAGGACUAAUAAAAACUGAAUUUUCCGUAUUAUUACUUUUAAAUUCAUUAAUCUUAAGAAUGGAGACACGUCCUUUGUAACACUCCUCCUAGAUACGAGAGUGCAGGACUACCCCUGUAACCAGAAUCUCCUGGAGGGAGAACGUGACUUGAGUGUAUAGAUCUAUACGGGAUUGAGUACCCCACACCUGGCUGCUAGUUACAGUGGGACCGACUGGUCCACAGGUGACAAAAGUCAUAAAAUGAUAUUGGCCCCGUUACGAGCCUUAUCUAGUUUAUUGUAUGGUUAUGGAACUCGCAACUUAGAUUAUGGAAAUUUACUUUAGUAAUUAAUUUAUUACCUACUUAUUAGUUUUAUAUACGUAUUAAAACUAAUGUACUUUUCAAAGAUAACCAGACUUUCAGGAAACUUCACUUAAACGCUACAAGUAUGGUAGAUACUUGUACACUGCAUUCCGAAUCGAUAACCAACCACCAACUUUUAAGGAAAAUAAGGGUUUUUCUUGGGAUAACUUAACUUCUCUUAACCAGGCUGUUUAACAAAUGGAUAACUAAACUUCUCUUAUAAAAAAAUAUGGGAUUUUCUUGGAUAACAAAUUUUUCAGAAAACCAAAGGAAACUUGUUCUUUUACCAUAAACCAACCGCUUAUGAACUCACCAGCUUUAUGCUAAUAUUUUCAAAACUGCUUGUAUUCUCAGGUUCUCGUUAGACAGGUAUCCCGUGUUCUUUUGGAGAAGACGGAGCAUAUAGAAGUCUCGUCUUUACUUUUGUUAUACUGAUGUAUCUAUAAAACAUGUAUUGCUUUGCUUUUAAACAAAUGUAAAUAUCCCCAUGUAAUGUAAUGGUUGUGUUUACUAUGCUUACUAUGUACAUUGGUUGUGAUAUUUUACAUGACGUCCUCCGCCCCGGAACGUUUCCACCUUCGGUUUCAUGGUGUGACAGAUUGGUAUCAGAGCCCUUGUUUAUAGUGAACUAAGUAUACCGAACCUUACAUGGUAUAUAACUAUAAACACUAAGGGGCUGAAGUGCUCUGAACUAAAAGUAUACUUUAAAAAUAUAAGUAUUUUUACUCCAAGUAUACAAGAAUACCUAAACGCCAGAAACCGUAACCCUGAGUAGAACAAAACAUAAGUAAUUGGGUGUUGUGCACUGUGGUUAAACCUGGGCAGUUAUUUAGUUGUGUCUAGGGUCAAUAUAGCCUGAUCAACUAUAUCCAUUCGAGACACGGCCAAUAUGUGCUUAGGAGUGAAUGUGGUGUGCAGUAGGCAUAAAACUUACCAAAUAUCCAAACAAUGAGUCAUCAUAGCAGCAAAGCAUAAAAUACUAUGGGAGUAUUUUCUAGAGUCAACUUCGUCAUAGAAAUCCUCAUUCAAGUGUUGCUACUCAUUUCUUUCCUUAGCGAUAGUUUACUUGCUUCGGUAACUCUUUCCUGUUUUAUCGCUUAGUAGAACACUUUACCUGCCAUAAUGAGAUAUCUCUUGUUUCAUAUCUCUUGAUUCUAUCCAGAGGACUUACCAUCCUCUCUUUCCUGAUCAUCUUAGAUCAAGAUGCCUCCAAGGAAAAGACCCAGCUCAAAGAACAACAAUCCUCCUCCACCACCACCUCCCUCUCCAUUUGAUCCCGCCAUGUUCCAAGCAGUUGUUACUGCUGCUGUGGCUACUGCCAUGUCUCAAAUGAACCCCGGUGGUUCAGGCGGGCCAGGAGGUGGUACUCAGCCUCAAAACCAGGAAGGUAGUCAGGGACACCGGAAGGAGUGUUCCUACAAAGAUUUUAUGAACGUGAAACCUACACCAUUCAAUGGAACUGGAGGUGUUAUUGCUUUGACUUGAUGGUUUGAGAAAAUCGAGUCUAUUUUCGAAAUCUGUGCCUGUUCGGAAACUGACAAGGUGAAGUUUGCCGCCUACACUUUCACCGAUAAAGCCCUGACUUGGUGGAAUGGCCAAGUCAAAUCCUUAACCCUGCCUGUAGCCAAUGCUAUGGGUUGGGAGAGCAUGAAGGUACUUGUUGAAUACUGCCCGCGGGGCGAAAUGCAGAAGCUAGAGCAUGAACUCUGGAACCUAAAGAUGAAGGGUUCCGAUGUCGCUGCUUACACCUCCAGAUUUGAAGACCUGGCGCUUCUUUGUCCGAGAAUGGUUACCCCGGAAAGUAAAAAUAUUGAAAGAUUAAUCUGGGGGCUGACCCAGCCAACCAAGGGAAAUGUUUUGGUUGCGAAGCUAAACACAUUCGACAGCGCUAAAUGCUUGGCGCAAACUCUGAUUGACCAUGGUGAUGAUCUCGAGGAAGUGGCCACCGCUUCUGAUCCGGAUAAAGGGAGCAGUGAAAAUAAGAAGAAAUCCUGGAGCAAGCGGAAGAGUCAGAGUUCGCAAGGAUCCUCCAAGAAGCAGCAAACUGUAGCAGUCCACGUUGCUACUACUCUUGCUGUUGUUUCUGCCGUCGCUUCUACAGCUCAAGCACCUACCAGUAGGUAUGUCGGUACCCUCCCUAGGUGCAACAAGUGCAAUUAUCAUCAUCUCACUUCCAGCCCAUGCCGUGAGGUGCUUUGCAACAACUGUGGCAAGAAAGGUCACCUUGCGCGAAAUUGCAAAACACCAACCCAAUCAACCAAUCAAGCUUCCGGAGCAGGUGUCGGUCAUGCCUGCUACGGUUGUGGUGAAGUCGGGCAUAUCAAGAGAAACUUCCCCAAGGCAACAACAGCUGGCAACACUGGAAGAGUUCUAACUAUGGGGCGAGAUGAGGCAGUCGCUGAUCCCACCGUUGUCUCGGAUACGUUCCUUCUCGAUAACUCUUACGCUUGUAUCCUUUUCGAUUCUGGUGCUGAAAGAAGUUUUGUUAGCCAUUCAUUCAAACAUCUUCUUAAACCUAAUCCUCAACCAUUAACCGAAACGUUUACAGUCGAGAUGGAUAACGAUGAGAAAGAGAACGCUAACGAUAUAUUCAUAGGCUGUACCCUUACCCUGAACGAUCAUUCUUUCCCCAUCGACCUAAUGCCAGUUUCCAUAAAGAGCUUUGAUGUUAUUAUUGUCAUGGAUUGGUUGAGUCCCAAUCAUGCUGAUAUCCUUUGUUAUGAAAAAUCCAUCCGUCUCAAUCUACCCUCGGACCAGACUCUGAUGAUCUACGACAAUAAACUUAGCUCCAAUCUUCGCAUCAUUUCUUGCAUCAAAGCUCAAAAACUUCUACGAAAGGAGUGUUGCGCAUUCCUAGCCCAUGUGGUAAACGAGAAACAGGAAGUUAAAGACCUCGAGAGCAUCCCCGAAGUCUGCAACUUUCCUGAUGUCUUUCCCGAAGAGCUCCCGGGAAUUCCUCCCGAACGUCAAGUCGAGUUUCGCAUCGACCUAAUUCCUGGAGCAAAUCCUAUAGCCAAAUCUCCUUAUUGCUUAGCGCCAGCAGAAAUGCAGCAGUUAUCCAGUCAGCUUAAUAAGCUACUGGGCAAAGGGUUCAUCAGACCGAGUUCCUCACCCUCGAGAGCCCCGAUUUUAUUUUUGAAGAAGAAAGAUGGAUCCUUUCGGAUGUGUAUAAACUACCGUGAGUUGAACAAGUUGACCGUCAAAAAUCGUUAUCCUCUUCCUCGAAUAGAUGACCUUUUCGAUCAACUUCAGAGAGCCAACUAUUUCUUGAAGAUAGACCUUAGAUCAGGGUACCAUCAACUUCGAGUUCACGAGAAUGAUGUUUCCAAGACAACAUUCAGGACUCGAUACGGACACUACGAGUUUGUAGUGAUGCCCUUCGGUCUAACCAACGCACCGGCAGUGUUCAUGGACCUGAUGAACCGGGUGUGUCGCCCCUUUCUGGACAAGUUCAUUAUCGUGUUCAUUGAUGACAUACUUUUCUACUCCAGAAGCGAAGAAGAUCACAAACAACACUUGAGGAUAGUGUUGGAAACUCUUAGAUCGGAAAAGCUGUACGCGAAAUUCUCCAAGUGUGAAUUUUGGAUUCGGAAGGUAACUUUCCUAGGUCACGUGGUAAGUGAGGAAUGUUGGAUUAAUGUCUAAGUCCAUAACUAUUUUGGUAUGUACUUGACCCGAUGGUGCAUGGUCCUUUUGGGUUGCCUUCACCAAAGCAACCUGAUAGGAUGAAUUAUGGAGAGAAAGGAUUAAAUAUGAUUUAGUAAUAUAUUAUGGGAAUAAUAUAUUAAAGGAGAAAUCAUAUUGUUUAAUUAAUAUUAGUCAAUAAUUAAUUGGUAAUUAGUUUUGUGACUAAAAGAGAUUAAUUAAACUUAAGGGACUGGAAUUGUAAUUAUAAGAUAAUUGCAAUUUGGGCCAUGGAUUGCCUUGUAUUAUGAGGUGGACGAAUUCUAUGGGGGAAGCCCAUAUGAAAUCGUCCAAGGCCUUAAGGAAAGGGCUCCAUGGGUUGCUUAGGGCUUAAGCAUCCAAAUUAGGGUUUCCUUGUUAGAUAACCCUAAUAGCCUCACUAUAUAUAGAACCCUUAUGCCCCAAAAACGUGGUGAACUAGUUGUCUAGGGUUUCCACACGUUUUGGGCAGCCUCCUUCUCUUCUCCUCUUCAUCCUCUUGCUCUUGGUGUUUGUGAACCAUUAGAGGAGUGACAUUUGUGACUCUAAGCUUUCUAAAGUCAAUACAAGGAGGAUUUGGGAUUGUUAUUGCUACAUAACAAUCAAGGUAUGAUCUAAACCCUAAUUAUAUGUUAUAUUGAUUAUCAUAUGCUAGAUCUAGGGUUUAUAGUCUUGGAUAAAUUGCAUGUACAAUAGAGAAACCUAGAUCCAAGCAUUAGGGUUUGUAUGAGCACAUAGGAUGUUCUUAUGACCAAAACCCAUCAGUGGUAUCAGAGCCUAGAUUGGUUUCUAUUGUAUUGAUGCUUUGUAUGUUGAAAAAAUUCGAUUUUUGUGCUUCUGGGGUCAGAACUCGUCGAGUUUUUUAGAUGAACUCGCCGAGUUCAUGAUGAACUCGACGAGUCCAUGCCUGACUCGACGAGUCGGCUGGUCAGUGAGAGGGAAAACCGGGAUUUCUUGCUGUUUUUGCUUAAGGAUAGUUGCCUUAUCAUAUUAGAUCAAUAUAAAUCCGAUUUUAUGAUAUAUUUGACUAUAUUCUUGAUCUAAUUGAAGAUAUUUAUCAAUUAAUAAAAUAUUUGUUUCCUUAUGUGAUAAUUGAUUAAUUAUUUUGAUUAAAUUGGUAAAUUGUUUUGCAAGAAAUCAUUAAAUAAAUCAAAUAUGGAUAAUUAUGUGAUUAAAUGUUAAUUUAGAUUAUUUGUUAUUUGAUCCUUGUGUUAUGAAAAGUUUCAUAUUUUCCCCUUUAGGUUUUAUAGUUUAAAUUUGAACUCAAAAGUUUUGUUGUUUUGAAAUUUAAAUAGUUGAAACCCUAAUGUUUUGAAAAAGGUUUCAAAACUUGCCCUCAAGUUUUGGAAUUUAAAUUUUGAUUAAUUGUUUAAUUUUGAUGUAUAUUUAAAUUCUAAACCCUAAUGUUUUGAAAUGUUUCAAAACUUGCCCUCAAGUUUUGGAAUUUAAAAGUUGAUUAAAAGUUUAAUUAGGAAUGUUAAAUUCUAAAACCCUAGUAUUGUUUUGAAAAAGUUCAAAUCACACCCUUAUGGUUUUAUUAAUUAAUUAAGGUGUAUAAUUAAAAGAGGUUUAAUAAAUCCAUAAAAGUUUAGGUUUACAAUUUAAUUGAAUUAAAAGUAUAAUUGUUAAAUUAGACCACCUAGUAUUUUAAAAGUGUAAAAUACACCCUAUACUAUAUAUAACAUUAAAAGUCUAACAUUAUAUAUAUGUAUGAGUAAAAGUCAGUCUUACCGUUAGUAGGCCUCAUUCACGAAGCUGGUCUAUAAGGGGUGUUUAAGGAAAUUGCCUAUAAAAUGGCGAUUGAAUGGUUAUCCACUCUUACCCACCGCACUCUUGACUAGUGGAGGGUCGUUAGCCGAACGGGUAGGAUAGGACGAAACCUUUCAUUAUAAGUAUACUGAAUUAUAAAAGUAACUGAAUGUUUUUCAAAUUCUUAAUCUUAGUUACUUAGGCAAAGUGAAUUGAUGCAAUUCCAUGAAAUUACACUUUGUGCCCUUGCAAAGACGUUAGUGGAACGUGUGUGGUUUACCGGCACACUAAAUGGUUCUAAGCAAAGGUAGCAAAGGGUGACUCAAUGUUUGUCAUAGUUUGGUGGAGCGUGUGUGGUUUACCGGCACAUCGAAUAGGUGACUGUAACAUGUGAGGGCACCAUGUAAGUUUGCAUGGUUAUUCACACCCGCUUUGUGAUCCUCGGCAUCCCAGUCACAAACAAGAGGGGCAUAUCGAGAUUUAAACAUGCCAUUGAAAGUUCAAUGAAUCUCAAAGGAUCUAGGAGUUUUCAUAGAUUUAAAACUUAAAUUUCUUUUUCGUUUUUCAUGGUGGAAAUUAGUGAAUCGUCAUUCACUUACCUUCAAAUGUUCUGCAAUUUGGGUUACGGCAUCCCUCUCCCGAGUUGUAGAAUAUUGUGUUGGGUCCUAGCCUUAGUAUCUCAUUUGGGUGAUUUACUAAGGACUCAAUCAAUCAACUAACUUGAAUUCGUUUUCUCCCGUUUUGUAGAUGUCAAAGUUCGACAACUAUGGUCUUCCCAAAUCCCGUGGAACAAGCAUUCCACAUGAAGAUGAUAUUCCACGAUUCGAUCGAGGAACAAGAAAUCAUGCUUCACUUCCUCCUCCUCCUCCAAUUAUUCUCCCUAACCCACAAGUUCAAAGGCUUGAAAAGUUCAAGAUCACUCAAGCCCUUUUGGCAAGUAAACAUAAAGAAGGAAAGUCGGUGUGUGCACACGUCCUAGGGAUGAAGUCACACAUUGAUAGGUUAAGAAUGUUGGGAUCCGUUGUCUGUGAGGAAAUGGCUGUUGAUUGGGUUCUUCAGUCACUUCCUAACUCAUAUAGUGAGUUCGUAAGAGAGUACUAUAUGAUGAACCGCGACGUGACCCUUAUAGAUCUCACCUAUAUGCUUAUUGCUGCUGAAUCAGCAAUGGUUUGGCGCAAUAGAAAAGCAAAGUUGAUUGGUGAAUCUGCCUUCAAGACCUCUAUGGAUAUAGACAAUGGCAACGAAAGACAUGCUAUGAUCGAAAAGUUUGAUCAUAAGAGAAAGGCAAUGUCUGAAGUAGUUCCAUGUCAUGUUCCAAAAGAGUCAAUUUGCUUUUAUUGCCAAGAGAAAGGGCAUUGGAGACGAAGCUGCCCCAUUUACCUAAGAGAUCUAAGAGAUGGGAGAGUCGAAACGUAUGGCUCUAAUAUAGGUAAAAUCCAUUAACUAACUCUUUUAAGCUUCUAUUCUAGAUUCUUAAUACAUAAUGUGAUAAGAUUACAAUUGAUGUUUUGUAGGAUCGAAGAAAAGAAAGGAAGCUUAAGGGAAGAAGUGAGCAGAAUCUAACCGUGAAGGAAUGGAUUUCGAUCGCAUUUCUCGAAGAUUAGAUUCUUGAGCUACUACUUAGAGUUAGAAUUAGAUUGCUAAGAAAGAUGUAUUAGCAUAGUUUUUCAAUGAAUUGCAUUGUAAGGACAAAUUUUUUCCGCAAUAAAAUAAAUUUUGAUUUUAUAUUAUUUAUUUAUCCUUGCAAUGGCGUAUAUGAAAAAUUGAUGUUUGAAUGUUUCUAUUAUUAGCAAUAAUGGAUUUGGUUCUUAUUAUGUUAUUUAUGGAAAGUCGAGAGUUUACCAAAUAGGGAGAGUUUCUCAUCGCCCAAGUUUCAAUUGGACAGAAACUUGGAAUCAUGCAACUUGGUUGCACGAUGAAUGAGAAAUUUCAUAUUUGGAAAUUAGACUAAUUCAUUGACAAAGUGUCAAGUGAAGGACUAGGAGAUCGAGUACACAAAGUUGCGUGUUGAUCAAGUCCACCAUAAGAGUAACAAAGAUAUUCGUCAUGAUUUACUAAAGGUUUAGUAAAUAUGAUUAUACUUACAAGAUUAAGUGUAAUUCUGAAUUGAUUGAAAAAGUUUAAAUCAAUAGCAAAACGAAUAAGAAGAAUCAAGUAGGCAGAAAGAUAAAAGUUUCUCCAUUCUAAGAAGAAGGGAGAGUACCUUUUAUGCUUUAUGAUAGGUCUUAAUGAUUAAGAACCAUAUCUCAAUUGAUCCUCUAAGUGAGUCUUAGUACAAUUGUAUGUCUAAGAAGAGGAAUCAAGAAUUGAAGAAAUGGUUAAAUCAAGAAGUCAAUCAUACUUCGUUCCAAAACAAGUCUUAGAGUUAAGAUUGUGACAUUGAGUGAAAAGUAUUAAGAAGGUUUAUAACAUUCAUCAAAUGUGGAAAGUUGUGAUGUCUUGGAUAAGACAAAGACCAACUAGGACCAAUUUAUGAAGUGUUUUGAUAAAAGCUACACUAACUCUUGAAUAUUUGUUUGUCAAGAAAUGUUUAUUGACAAGAGAAUCUUAUAUGUCAAGGAGUCAGUGGGAGUCUUAAUGGUCUUGAAAGGUUUCAAGAACAAAUCAAAAAAACCUUAUCGAUCAUCACUAGCACACGAGUUGAGGUUUACAACCUAUCGUGUUGACAUUAUUUUGUUUCUGUGCCAAUCCAAUCGAGUUAAUUAUGCAUGUGAGUUCUAUGAGUUCUCAUUUUGAACGCAUAAAAGGCAAAGCACCUUAAUCAAUGAAAGGUACAUUGAUAGGAAAGGGUGAGCUGCUUAACUACUUGGAAGACAUGGUGGGCAGCUGUGCUACCAUAAGGCAAGAAAUCAAGAUUAAGAAAGUUCGGUCCAUAUGAGUUUGAAUUUGUCGUAAACUUUGGUUUUAACAAAUUCACAUGGAUAGGAACACAUACACCGUUUAAAUCUAAGUGUCAUAAGAUUUCCUCCUUCAUGAAAAUGAUUGUGAGGAAAUGCUUUCACUAAGAAAGAUUUUAAGAAGAUAGUGAUUGUAAAAUUGCAUUCUCGAAUUCGAUUAUGGUUACGGUAUCCCUUUCCAUAAUUUGAAUUGUGAGGUUUGGCAAUUAGUCUUAAUUGUUUAGACACACAUAUGAACUAUCGAAGGCAAAGGUGUAUAAGUUCAAGAAGCCUUGAUAAAAGAUUAUCAAAGCACUAAGUAUUAGAAACAUGAACUUAAGAAAUUCAAUAAGUAUUGUUUUUCUGAAAGUUAAGAUGUUUAUGAAUACAUGUCGAAGCUAGUGGGAGCAUAAGUGUUAUGUUUUAUAAUAAUCAUCAUGAUAGUGGGAGCAUAAAUGUUAUGAUUGUAUGAUUAUUAAGGAAAGUAUUGCAAGUUGGCAAUAUUAAUUAUAGAAAACAAGAGUCAUACUUUGCAAAGUUGUAAGGGUUGAAAGGUUGUUUUGCUAUAAUUAAGGGAGAGAAUAUUAUGCUUCAUUUCAAAUCUAAAGGAUUAGGUUGAGAAAUGUUAAUAAAUUUAGUCAAAGGUACAUAGUGUGUUCUUAAAAUUUCGAUUAUGAUUACGGCAUUCCUCUUCACAAUUCGAAUUUUGAGAACAUAGCAAAUAAAACAUUAUGCGUCGUGUCCCAUACGCUUCGGGUAUAGGAUCGAUUGCAAAUGCUUUAAUGUUUGACCAUUCUAAAAUUUUCCAAAUGUCGAGCGCAUUUAGAGGGAAAAGGGACUAGAAUUGGUUUUGACUAAAAUAAUUAAACAACUAUCAAAGGACAAUCCAAAGUUCGACGAGGAUUGGUCGCUUGUGAGUAGUUGGAAGUAUAGUAUUGGAAAAUAUGGAAAUGUUUCCAUAUUGGAUGGACCAUAUCGACAUCAUUACGAAUAGAUAAGAUUCUAUUAAGAAUGAGUUGUCAUAUGGAACAUAUGGAAGUGUGUCCAUAUUGGGAAUUGAAUAUUGAGAAAUCUAUGACUAGAUUAGAAACUUCUAUGCAAAAGGAUGUUCAAAGAAUGUACUUUGAGUGAGAGACAUCACGUCUAUGGAAUUGUCUUGUAACAAUCUCCGAUAGAGGACUUUGUAAUAUCAUUGGCAAUAGUCUUUGUGACUUUGGUGCAGUGACAUUACGAAAGGAUAGUUGCAUAGAAUGUUAGAAUCUAGCAUAUUCUAUAAGUAGCAAGAAUUUGAUAUUCUUUGACUUAUGAAAAACGGAUUUGGAGUUGUGAAAUGAGAAGGAUUGGAAAUGUGUUCAAUGUGAUCUAUUUCACAAAGUAAGAACCAUAGGUAAACAUUGUGUGCAUGCUAGGAGCAUGGGACAAGUGUUGGAAUUCAAGUAAGAAGUUGAUUACCCGAAACGACAAAUAAUGAGUAAUCAAUAUGGUGAUAAAUAAAAGGUGUUUUAUUUAUACUCAAAGGUUUGAGGCCAUAUGGGAUUAGUAUUAUUCUUGUGUUUCACAUUUGCAUGUUUUGACUUCCAGAAUAAUUGAGUUUAUUAAGAAUAAUCGAAUUAUUCAAACGGGCCACAGUCGUUCAUAUGUUGGAAGUAGAUAUGAAUGAAGACUGUCGUGAAUUGGUGUGUGGAUUGUCUAAAAGAGUAUUAGACAUAAGCAAAUGUUUGCUGCAACGUUCAUGAGUGCUUAUGAAUGUGAUUUGAGCAUUGGAUUAAACCCACGCUCACUUGGAUCACUCCAUGAAUUGUAUCACGAGUGAUUGGUGAGACGAUAACAUCUUAUAUUCUUGAAACCGAGAUGUGUGAGUUGUAUCUUGCAAAUCGGUUGCACAUUGAUAAUAUGUAAACGCACUAGUAACUUGGUGUUAUAAAACAUAUUGUUGUGUGUGAUUCGGUGAGUGAGUGCAAGCAAGCAUUGUAUCAAAGUUUAUCCGUUCCUUUUAUCCAAAGUAGGAUAAAAGCGAUAUCUUUGGGCCCCUCGAUGGUUUAGUGAUGACAAACGUAAAUGCUCGGCCGGGCUAGGGCUAAUUUGAUUUGUUCAAUUAGUCAGUCGUCAUAAAUCGGGAAUCGAGAUAUAGUACAAAGAGAAUGAUUUGAAAUCAUAUCUCAUAUGAUAUCUAGAAUGGAGGAAUAUAUGAUCCCUUAUCUAAGGACACGCGUAUCUGAUAGGAUCAGAGUUGACAGCGGCUUUGGAAAGCUACGAUUGCAGAUCAGGAUCUGAAGUCAUACGCAGAAUAGUUAUUAGACUUAUCCAAGUGGGAGACUGUUGGAUUAGUGUCUAAGUCCAUAACUAUUUUGGUAUGUACUUGACCCGAUGGUGCAUGGUCCUUUUGGGUUGCCUUCACCAAAGCAACUUGAUAGGAUGAAUUAUGGAGAGAAAGGAUUAAAUAUGAUUUAUUAAUAUAUUAUGGGAAUAAUAUAUUAAAGGAGAAAUCAUAUUGUUUAAUUAAUAUUAGUCAAUAAUUAAUUGGUAAUUAGUUUUGUGACUAAAAGAGAUUAAUUAAACUUAAGGGACUGGAAUUGUAAUUAUAAGAUAAUUGCAAUUUGGGCCAUGGAUUGCCUUGUAUUAAGGGGUGGACGAAUUCUAUGGGGAAACCCAUAAGGAAAUCGUCCAAGGCCUUAAUUAAAGGAGUCUAUGGGUUGCUUAGGGCUUAAGCAUCCAAAUUAGGGUUUCCUUGUUAGAUAACCCUAAUAGCCUCACUAUAUAUAGAUCCCUAAAGGACCAAAAACGUGGACAAGACUCCUUUAGGGUUUGUAGACGUUUUUGGGCAGCCUCCAUCCUCUCUCCUUUUCAUCCUCUUGCUUAUGGUGUUUGUGAACCAUUAGAGGAGUGACAAUUGUGACUCUAAGCUUUCUAAAGUCAACACAAGGAGAUUUGGGAUUGUUAUUGCUACAUAACAAUCAAGGUAACAUCUUAAACCUAUUCUCAUGUUAAUAUGAUUACUUGAAUGUUAGAAUUAGGGUUUAUAGUCUUGGAUAACUUUCAUGUACAAUAUAUAAACCUAGAUCCAAGCAUUAGGGUUUGUAUGAGCACAUAGGAUGUGUUAUGACCAAAACCCAUCAAGGAAGGCAUACACGUGGACCCUCCGAAAUCAAAGCGAUAGAGAAUUGGUCGGCACCGAAGACACCCACAGAAAUCCGUCAAUUCUUGGGUCUCGCCGGCUAUUAUCGCAGAUUCAUCCAUAAUUUUUCCAAAAUCGCCAAACCCCUAACCACUGACACAGAAAGGUGUACCCUUUUGUUGGAGUGAAAAGCAGGACACUGCAUUCCAAACGUUAAAGCGUGCCUUGUGCAACGCACCUAUCUGUCCCUGCCCGAAGGGACAGAGGAUUUCGUUUUAUAUUGCGACGCGUCCAAUCAGGGCUUAGGCUGUGUGCUUAUGCAGAGAGGAAAAGUUAUCGCUUAUGUCUCAAGACAGCUGAAGGCACACAAAGUUAACUAUACAACUCACGACCUGGAGUUAGGAGCAGUAGUCUUCGCACUGAAGAUUUGGAGACAUUAUCUCUACGGAACCAAGUGUACGAUCUUCACUGACCAUAAAAGCUUGCAACAUAUCUUCGAUCAGAAAGACUUAAACAUGAGACAACGGCGAUGGGUAGAGCUGCUCAGUGACUACUAGUGCAAAAUCCGCUACCAUCCCGGCAAGGCCAAUGUGGUGGCAGAUGCCCUUAGCCGAAAGGAGAGUUCAAGCCGCAAGGCGAAGACAUUGAUAAUGACCAUCCAUUCCCACUUAUCCGUAUAGAUUCGAGAAGCCCAGUUAGAAUCCCUAAAACCAGAGAACGUGUCGAAUGAAGCCUUGAGGCGGAGGGAUAAGAAACUUGAGAUCAGAGGUGAUGGAGUCUACUGUUUCAUGGAUUGAAUCUAGAACCCAAAGUUCGGAGGUUUCAGGGAAGUUGUUAUGAACGAAGCUCACAAGACCAGAUACUCUAUGCACCCGGGUUCGGAUAAGAUGUACAUGGAUCUCAAGAAACAAUACCGGUGGCCAAACAUGAAAGCCGAAAUCGCUACCUUCGUGGGUAAGUGUUUAACUUGUGCCAAGGUAAAGGUCGAAUACCAUAAACCCUCGGGUUUGCUCCAGCAGCCUGAGAUACCUAAGUGGAAAUGGGAGAUGAUUACUAUGGAUUUCAUCACCAAGUUACCCAAGUCUCCGAGGGGGUACGACACCAUUUGGGUAAUUGUCGACCGAUUAACAAAAUUCGCUCACUUCCUUCCGAUCAAAGAAACGUUCAAGAUGGAAAGACUCGUGCGAAUCUACAUUCAAGAGAUAGUCCGACUGCACGGUGUUCCUGUGUCCAUUAUCUCCGAUCGAGAUAGAAGGUUUACCUCAAGGUUGUUGCAGUCCCUUCAGAAAGCUCUUGGAACUAAGCUGGAUAUGAGUACAGCUUAUCAUCCUCAGACAGAUAGGCAGAGUGAGAGGACUAUCCAGACCUUAGAAGACAUGUUGAGAUCAUGUGUCAUCAAUUUCGGAAAGUCGUGGGACACCCAUUUACCCUUGAUCGAGUUCUCGUAUAACAACAGUUACCACACCAGUAUCAAGGUUGCCCCGUUCGAAGCCCUCUACGUUCGCAAGUGCAGAUCCCCUCUGUGCUGGGCCGAGGUAGGGGACACGCAACUAGCCAAGAGUCGAGUCCCCAAUAGUGCUCUCACUGGUCCUGAAAUCAUCUGCGAAACCACCGAGAAGAUCAUUCAAAUCCGAGAACGACUGAAAGCUUCACGAGACAGACAAAAGAGUUACGCCGAUAAACGACGAAAACCUAUGGAAUUCCAGGUUGGAGAUCGUGUCCUGAUAAAGGUCUCGCCCUGGAAAGGCAUGAUACGCUUUGGAAAGCACGAAAAACUUAACCCGAGGUACGUAGGACCUUUCGAGAUCCUCGCUAAGAUCGGUCUCGUAGCCAACAAACUCCGACUACCUCAAAAACUUGGCAACAUCCACCCUGUAUUCCACGUCUCUAAUCUUAAAAGGUGUUUAUCCGAUGAAACCAUCAUGAUCCCACUUGAUGAGAUCGAAAUCAACAAAAACCUGAGCUUUGUGGACGAACCAAUCGAAAUCAUGGAUCGAGAGAUCAAACGUACGAAACAAAGCCGCAUCCCAAUAGUGAAGGUUCGUUGGAAUGCCAAGCGGGGACCCGAAUUCACUUGGGAGCGCGAAGACUCGAUGAAGUAGAAAUAUCCACAUCUCUUUCCGAUUCCAUAAUUUGUAUCUUAAUUUUGAAUUUCGGGAUGAAAUUCCCUCUAACGGGGGGAUAAUGUGACAACCUGAAAUUUAUUCCGUCACUGUAACCCGUUUCUGUCAAUAAAACUCGUCUUUAUCGAAUUGUUUCGUUAACAUUUUGGAUUAGGUUAUUUAAAUUGAUACUUUUAUUAUGACUUCAUGAGUGUCCAAACGCAUUAGAAACACGUGAAACACCCUCGAUAUUCUUUUUAAAAGUUUCUAAUUCACGACCAUGUCAGGUUACGAUAACUUAAUCGGGUACGACCAUAAGCUCCGUUUAACGUCGGUAUCGGGUAGAUUUCCACCGGGCCACAAACUCAAACCCUAUAUAAGGGUGAGUGGACCUCCAUUUGAAGCUUUUCCACUCUUAACACCCUCUCCCUCUACUCUCUCUCUACAACUCAAAUUUUGAUCCAAAAUCACCUCUUUCAAGCUCCAAACUUGUAAGUAAUCUAUCCUAGCUUAUAGUUUAGCUUGUUUAGCAUUCAAAUCCGUGUUUAAAUCAUCCAAAAGUAUAAAAAUCAUGUGUUUACGUCCCUAGAACAGCCCCAAACCGUAAACACCCUUAAAUGGGGUUUUGGAGCCCCAAAACCCUUCCAAAUCACUUCUAGUGCUUAGCUAUGACUUAAGGGCUUGCAUGAAUGGACUUAGAACACAAAAAUCUUGUCAUUUGGGGAUUAAAGAUGAGUUUACGGCCCAAGAACAUUCUUGGACCAUAAACACUCAUUCUUAGGCCAUAAACACCUUUUAAGGUGUUAAAUUGCCCCUUAAACACCUCCUAUGGCUUGAUAUAAUGUCUAGAACCAACCACCAUCGAAGUAGGGACCGUAAACAUCAAGGAAACCAUGAACUUAGGAGAUUACGGCCGUAAAACCUCCAAGGAAUGGUCCCUUGGCCGUACUCCUCUAAGGAGGUCAAAUGGUGCCCUAACUUCCUUCCAUGGCUUGUAUAUUGGACUAGAAUCAUGUUUGCUUAACCUAGAACCAUCAAAACACAAAAGGAAGGGUCAAGUAAGAGUUUACGGCCUUAAAAUCUAUGUUUACAGCCGUAAACUCAUGUAAAUGGUAAAUUUGAAGACUUAGCCACUUCCUAUGCCCUAGAAUUGAACCUAGCUUAUUUCCCUAAGUGUUGUAAGACCUUUAAACAUCCAAGAACACACCACCCAUGAGUUUAUGGCCAUAAACUCAUGGGGAUACGGUCAUUGGGCCGAAAUCUCCUCUAAGAGUUUACCCUUGAAGAGUAAACUCCCUAUCCAAGCCAUACACCCCCUUAGAUGCAACCCAGAUCAUUCCUAACACUUGAGAUAAAGUGUUUUCGCGUCUCGGAGUGUAUUAUUUUACUUAAUUAGUAGUUCUAAGUCUAAUUAGAUACAAUUAUGUAUCUCCUCAUGUUACAUAGGAUCCUCACGCGUGUUCAAGCCUUAAACUGACACUUAGCAUCCUACCCGGCACAUUUCUCGUCUGAUGAGUUCAUACCCCUACACUUUUUCUUGUGUGUUUUUCAUGUUUUCAGGGGGGAAUACAAGCAAAAGUACAAGGAAAUCUUGUACUCAAAUUUAUUAUUUCGUAUGAAAUGUUUCAUAUUCCGUAUGCUUUUAACAUUGAAAACCGUAUUAACCGACCAUUUAACUUGCAGAGUUAGUUUUCAAACUAAUUGCGAAAUUCAUUAUAAAAUGUUAUAUUUUAUAUUUCACAGAUGAUUUUUCACAUCAUUACUGUUAAAAUCAUUAAUCUUAGAACUUUUGAUAUGUCCUUGAUAACACUCCCCCUAGAUACGAGAGUGAAGGACCAAUAACAUUAAUCUUAGAACUUUUGAUACGUCCUUGAUAACACUCCCCCUAGAUACGAGAGUGAAGGACCAAUAACAUUAAUCCUAGAACUUUUGAUACGUCCUUGAUAACACUCCCCCUAGAUACGAGAGUGAAGGACUAAUAAAACAGAAUUUUCCAUAUUAUUACUUUUAAAUUCAUUAAUCUUAAGAUUGGAGACACGUCCUUUGUAACACUCCCCCUAGAUACGAGAGUGUAGGACUACCCCUGUAACCAGAAUCUCCUGGAGGGAGAACGUGACUUGAGUGUAUAGAUCUAUACGGGAUUGACUACCCCACACCUGGCUGCUAGCUACAGUGGGACCGACUGGUCCACAGGUGACAAAAGUCAUAAAAUGAUACUGGCCCCGUUACGAGCCUUAUCUAGUUUAUUGUAUGGUUAUGGAACUCGCAACUUAGAUUAUGGAAAUUUACUUUAGUAAUUAAUUUAUUACCUACUUAUUAGUUUUAUAUACGUGUUAAAACUAAUGUACUUUUCAAGGAUAACCAAACUUUCAGGAAACUUCACUUAAACGCUACAAGUAUGGUAGAUACUUGUACACUCCAUUCCGAAUCGAUAACCAACCACCAACUUUUAAAGAAAAUAAGGGUUUUUACUGGGAUAACUUAACUUCUCUUAACCAGGCUGUUUAACAAAUGGAUAACUAAACUUCUCUUGUAAGAAAAUAUGGGAUUUUCUUGGAUAACAACUUUUUCAGAAAACCAAAGGAAACUUGUUCUUUUACCAUAAACCAACCGCUUAUGAACUCACCAGCUUUAUGCUGAUAUUUUUAAAACUGCUUGUAUUCUUAGGUUCUCGUUAGACAAGUAUCCCGCGUUCUUUUGGAGAAGACGGAGCGUAUAGAGUCUCGUCUUUACUUUUGUUAUACUGAUGUAUCUAUAAAACAUGUAUUGCUUUGCUUUUAAACAAAUGUAAAUAUCCCUAUGUAAUGUAAUGGUUGUGUUUACUAUGCUUACUAUGUACAUUGGUUGUGAUACUUUACAUGACGUCGUCCGCCCCGGAACGUUUCCGCCUUCGGUUUCGGGGUAUGAUAGAAACACAUAUGGAUUGUCCUCCACCUUCUUUGGAUAAUGAUAUAUAGCAAAUUCGGCUUUAAGUUCAUCAUCAGGAACAACAAUUCCUUCCUUUUCAUACGCAAACUGUAAAAUGAGACACCAAUAUCUAGCACACGAAAUUCCAUUCACCACAUUCGUGUUACUAAUGCUUUUGACAAAUUCUUCCCAAAAUUGUGUCGUAUAAUCAACCGGUAAAUCAUAAUAAAUUCCUACUACCAAGGAAUAUAUCUCCAAUUUUGCCUUAUCUAGUCCAACACUUCGACCCAUCAGGCAUCGAAGAAAAAUUCCAAAUAAGAAAUUCCAGAUGCAUUGCAAAAAAGAUUUCUUGAAAUUACUUAUCUUGGUUAGAGUUGGUUGAUAACCCAUUUCGUUGAACAUGCGAAGCAGUUGUUCAUUCGAGACUUCAUAGAAAGGGCCGACAUUAGGAAUUCUCAGAAUUUAAGCAAACAUAUUCUUAGUCAACGUGAACUUCUUCUUAGUAGUCAAUUGAAAUGUAACCACCUUGAAGGUCUUGUUGUACACCGUUGUGGAACCCGCAAGAGACGACCAUGUCAUCGGAACAAAAAAAGAUGCAGACAUCGCCGUGGACAGAACAGAAUGGUUCAAAGCAAUUAUGAGCAUCUUCAAUUCUUUUGGAUAUUGAGUAACAUUUGGUUGAACUCGGUAAUUAGUGCUUUGAAUCUUCAUUAAUGGUUGAGAAGUAACAUCUUCUGUUGUUUGGGAUGGAUCAACAUUAUCAUGAACAACUGCCAUUGUUAGGGUUCGAAAGAGAUUUUGAGAGAACGUAAAGGGCAAGAAAUAUUUAGGGAAAUUUUGAUCGCAUAAAGUUAGAACAAUAUGACCCAAAACCCUUUUAUACGUAAACCCCAAUUUGAAUUUGAAGCGGUUAAAGCAUUUAAUGCAGUCCACGUGGCUCCUUGAAAAUCGAACCAGUAGCCGUAAAAAUAGCCACGUCUGAAAAGUGAUUGGCACUUUUUCCUUGAAAUCGCAUGAUAACCAAAACGUCACAUCCAACAGGCCGUUCGCUUACCCCAAGGGAAUAAGAACCGUCAAUAACCCUUCAACAUAGAGGCUGGGCUCUUUCACUUUUAGGUUGAGAAGCGAAGUCAUAUUUGCGAAAUCAUCAGCCUGAGUUGGUAUUACUCAGAACCUUAAGGAUUUCAUGAGUGCAUAUUCUGCUUAUCUCUUUAUUUAUAUUGAUUAUUGCUCAUGUUUAUGUGUUUUAUUUAAGGAUCGUUUCUUGUGAACGGUAUAUCUGCUAUGGUAUUAUUUGAUUCUGGGGCUACCCGAUCCUUUGUAUCACUCGCACUUAGCAUGCAAUUUGUUUGAGCUCCAGGAGAGCUAGACUGUCCUCUUGAUGUAGAGAUGGUGGACGAUAGGAUCGUCGUGUCGUGAGGGUUCAUCGGGGAUGUACACUACAGUUGUUUGAUGAGCAGUUUUCCAGGAUUUAGUCCCUUUUCUCCUGCGAGGGAAUAAGGUUAUCGUGGGUAUGGAUUGGUUGAGCCCCAAUGGGGUAGUGAUUGACUGCAAGCAGCAGCUUGUACGAGUUUGGACCUCAAGUGGGGGAGGGUUGGUGAUACAGGGAGAGAGGCCGCAACAUGGGUCGACUAUGUGUUCCGCUGCGAGGGCGACGCGCUACCUCCAGCAGGGUUGCGCAGGUUAUGUUGCCUGUGUCAUGGAUACCUGGGAUAAGGGUAAGGCGACCGUGCAUGAUAUACCGAUCGUACGGGAGUACCCAGGCGUGUUCCUAGAGGGUUUGCCUGUGGUACCUCCAGAGAGGCAAGUAGAGUUCAAGAUUAACCUAGUUCCUGGUGCGGCUCCGAUAGCCAAGGCACCAUAUUGAUUCGCUCCUCCUGAGAUGUAGGAGUUAUCUACACAGCUGCAGGAGCUGUUAGACAAGAGAUUUAUUAGGCCAAGCAGUUCGCCAUGGGGAGCCUCGAUUCUGUUUGUGAAGAAGAAGGACGGGUCGCAUCGGAUGUGUAUAGAUUACCGGGAGCUGAAUAAGAUAACGGUGAAGAACCGUUAUCCCCUCCCGAGGAUUGAUGAUUUAUUUGACUAGCUUCAGGGUGCAUCUUGGUUCUCUAAGAUUGAUCUGCGAUUGGGUUAUCACCAGAUGCGAGUCAGGGACGACGAUGUGCAGAAGACAACCUUUCGGACUCGCUAUGGUCAUUAUGAGUUNUUGGUUGAACUCGGUAAUUAGUGCUUUGAAUCUUCAUUAAUGGUUGAGAAGUAACAUCUUCUGUUGUUUGGGAUGGAUCAACAUUAUCAUGAACAACUGCCAUUGUUAGGGUUCGAAAGAGAUUUUGAGAGAACGUAAAGGGCAAGAAAUAUUUAGGGAAAUUUUGAUCGCAUAAAGUUAGAACAAUAUGACCCAAAACCCUUUUAUACGUAAACCCCAAUUUGAAUUUGAAGCGGUUAAAGCAUUUAAUGCAGUCCACGUGGCUCCUUGAAAAUCGAACCAGUAGCCGUAAAAAUAGCCACGUCUGAAAAGUGAUUGGCACUUUUUCCUUGAAAUCGCAUGAUAACCAAAACGUCACAUCCAACAGGCCGUUCGCUUACCCCAAGGGAAUAAGAACCGUCAAUAACCCUUCAACAUAGAGGCUGGGCUCUUUCACUUUUAGGUUGAGAAGCGAAGUCAUAUUUGCGAAAUCAUCAGCCUGAGUUGGUAUUACUCAGAACCUUAAGGAUUUCAUGAGUGCAUAUUCUGCUUAUCUCUUUAUUUAUAUUGAUUAUUGCUCAUGUUUAUGUGUUUUAUUUAAGGAUCGUUUCUUGUGAACGGUAUAUCUGCUAUGGUAUUAUUUGAUUCUGGGGCUACCCGAUCCUUUGUAUCACUCGCACUUAGCAUGCAAUUUGUUUGAGCUCCAGGAGAGCUAGACUGUCCUCUUGAUGUAGAGAUGGUGGACGAUAGGAUCGUCGUGUCGUGAGGGUUCAUCGGGGAUGUACACUACAGUUGUUUGAUGAGCAGUUUUCCAGGAUUUAGUCCCUUUUCUCCUGCGAGGGAAUAAGGUUAUCGUGGGUAUGGAUUGGUUGAGCCCCAAUGGGGUAGUGAUUGACUGCAAGCAGCAGCUUGUACGAGUUUGGACCUCAAGUGGGGGAGGGUUGGUGAUACAGGGAGAGAGGCCGCAACAUGGGUCGACUAUGUGUUCCGCUGCGAGGGCGACGCGCUACCUCCAGCAGGGUUGCGCAGGUUAUGUUGCCUGUGUCAUGGAUACCUGGGAUAAGGGUAAGGCGACCGUGCAUGAUAUACCGAUCGUACGGGAGUACCCAGGCGUGUUCCUAGAGGGUUUGCCUGUGGUACCUCCAGAGAGGCAAGUAGAGUUCAAGAUUAACCUAGUUCCUGGUGCGGCUCCGAUAGCCAAGGCACCAUAUUGAUUCGCUCCUCCUGAGAUGUAGGAGUUAUCUACACAGCUGCAGGAGCUGUUAGACAAGAGAUUUAUUAGGCCAAGCAGUUCGCCAUGGGGAGCCUCGAUUCUGUUUGUGAAGAAGAAGGACGGGUCGCAUCGGAUGUGUAUAGAUUACCGGGAGCUGAAUAAGAUAACGGUGAAGAACCGUUAUCCCCUCCCGAGGAUUGAUGAUUUAUUUGACUAGCUUCAGGGUGCAUCUUGGUUCUCUAAGAUUGAUCUGCGAUUGGGUUAUCACCAGAUGCGAGUCAGGGACGACGAUGUGCAGAAGACAACCUUUCGGACUCGCUAUGGUCAUUAUGAGUUCGUGGUGAUGCCAUUUGGGUUCACCAAUGCUCUUGCCAUGUUCAUGGAUCUCAUAAACCGUGUGUCCAGACCGAUGUUGGACCGGUCUAUGAUAGUCUUCAUCGAUGAUAUCUUGGUUUACUCCAAGACUCAGGAGCAUCACGAGGAGCACCUGGGGGAGGUGCUGGAGACACCGAGGAGGGAGAGACUUUUCACAAAGUUCUCCAAGUGCGAGUUCUGGUUGAGUGAGGUGCAAUUUCAGGGGCACCUUGUGAGCCAGAAGGGUAUUCUGGUCGAUCCGGCCAAGGUAGAGGCCAUGAUGCAGUGGUAGGUUCCGAGGUCUCCAUCCGAGACUCAGAGUUUUCUUGGUUUGGCAGGUUAUUAUCAGAGAUUCAUCCAGGAUUUCUCCAAGAUCGUUGUUCCUUUGACCCGACUGACCAAGAAGUCGGUGACAUUCCGCUGGGGGCCUGAGCAGCAGGCAACUUUCGAGACUCUCAAACGGCGGUUAUACGAGGCACCGAUUCUGACUUUGCCGAAGGGCAUUGACGAUUUUGUGGUUUACUGUGACGCUUCGAUCGCGGGUAUGGAUGCAACUAAUGCAGCGGGGUCGCGUGAUAGCAUACGUUUCGAGGCAGUUAAAGCCUCAUGAGGCGAAUUACCCGACACACGAUUUAGAGCUGGGGGUCGGGGUUUUCGCCCUCAAGAUUUGACAACAUUACCUCUAUGGGGUUCGUUGUACCAUUUACACGGACCACAAGUGCCCGAGGUAUCUGAUGGACCAGCCGAAUCUGAACAUGAGGCAGUGUCGAUGGUUAGAUGUGUUGAAGGACUAUGAUUGUGAGAUCCUCUACCACCCGGGGAAGGCCAAUGUGGUAGCCGAUGCGCUCAGCCGUAAGGCGGUUGCAACUCCGAUACAAGAUAUAUGCUUGAGGAUGACAGUGAUUGCUCCGUUGCUGAAGCGGAUUCGGGAGGCGCAGGUCGAGAGAAUGAAGGAGGAGCGCCGAAAGUGUGAGUGAAUCAUAGGCAUGGUGGUCUCAUUCGAUUAUGACAGUCGUGGGUUGUCGACCCUGCAUCGGAGGGUAUGGGUUUCUUACUGGGGUGGUGUACGCCAGGUUCUGAUGGAUGAGACUCACAAGUCUAGGUUCUCCAUUCAUCCCGGGGCGACGAAGAUGUAUCGGGAUCUUCGUCGUGAUUAUUGGUGACCCUGCAUGAAGCGGGACAUAGCAUGGUAUGUGGAGCGGUGCUUGACUUGCAGGAAAGUCAAGGCCGAGCACUAGCGACCUCACGACAAGAUGCAGCCGUUGGAUAUUCCUGUGUGGAAAUGGAAAGAUAUCCUAUGGACUUCAUCAACGGUUUUAAUCAUUGUGAUCCUUGCCUCAUAUGUUUAGUAGUUUUUCUAGUUAUGGGUGAGGUAAUGAGUUUUAGUCUCGUGUAUGCUAAUCCGUUUUUCUUCGCCCUCUUCGGAUUCUUUUUAAUAAUUUGACUUGGUGAUUCCAGUCAACAUGUCAUAUCAACAUCAACACGAUGAUUGAUGAUAACCGACUAAAGGAUAAAAAUAAAACGUUUUAUAAAAAACUUAGAUCUUUUCUUUUGUAGAAUAGAAAAAAGUCGGGGUGACUUUUAUGAUAUUAAGCAUUAACUCAAAAAUAAAUUAAGAUAUUUAAUUUUUUUUUAAGUGGGAAUUGAAAACUGAAUCUAAUAAACAGCCGCCCGAGGAACAAGUCCAAAACAUCCGCAUGUCAAUAUCCUCAGAUAUCAUCUCGAUCGUCGCCAAACAAUUACUCUUUCUUCAAUUAAUCCCACUAUUUUGAAUUAUCUCUGUUACCGUUCUAGAUUCGCCAACACUCUCUGCAAGAUCUGCAUAUCGAUUUCACUUACAGAGCGAGGUAGAGAGAUCUAUGGCAAGCGGAGGUGGGUAUGGUGAUGCUAGCCAGAAGAUCGACUAUGUCUUCAAAGUGGUGCUAAUCGGAGACUCUGCGGUGGGUAAAUCACAGAUACUUGCUCGCUUUGCUAGAAACGAGUUCAGUUUAGAUUCCAAAGCUACUAUCGGUGUCGAGUUCCAAACUCGAACCCUCGUUAUUCAACACAAGUCUGUUAAAGCUCAGAUCUGGGACACCGCCGGUCAAGAACGGUAAUAAUUCUACUUCACGUCUCUUUACUGAUUCAUGAUCUCGCUUGUGAUUGUUGCGAUCGAAUGGUUUGUCUAAUGAUCUGCAUUUGGUGUGAUCUUAGCUUUGAUUUUAGUACAUUUAUAGAUAAUGUGUGCUUUUGUUGAUCUAGAUCUUUCGUUCAAUUUGCAUAAGGUGAGCUUUUGUAAGCUAUGAAUGUGUUCCACCUUUUCAUUUAAGAAGAUAAUUCCCAUUUUAUAUGCAUCAACAAUCUGAUUCAUUCUACAUAACUUGUAUCUAGCUCCUAAAAGAAAAAAAAAAGAUUGAACCAAGCGUUAAACUCCAAAGAAGAAAUUUAUCUUGUUGAAAAGGCAUGAUUUUGACAUUGAUGAAAACAGAUUUUAGAUCCUCCUUUCUCCUUCCAUUCUUGAUGAAAACAGAUUUUAGAUCUUUUAACCGAUUUUACUCAUUUUACCUUUUUACCCAUGUACAAACAUAUUCUCAAGGGUAAAAUCGUCCAUUUUUUUUUGAGAAAACCAGGUACAGAGCAGUAACAAGUGCAUACUACCGUGGUGCAGUAGGGGCAAUGUUGGUAUACGACAUAACAAAACGCCAAACAUUUGAUCACAUUCCAAGGUGGCUAGAAGAGCUAAGAAACCAUGCAGACAAAAACAUUGUCAUCAUUUUAAUUGGAAACAAAAGUGAUUUAGAAGAUCAAAGAUCAGUUCCAACAGAGGACGCCAAAGAAUUUGCUCAAAAAGAAGGAUUGUUCUUUCUAGAAACAUCUGCUCUUGAAUCAACAAAUGUAGAAGAUGCAUUCUUGACUGUUUUGACUGAAAUUUUCAGAAUUGUGAACAAGAAAAGUUUGGUUGCAGAUGAAGAACAGAAUGGGAAUACUGGAAAUUUGGCUGGAAAGAAGAUUAUUGUUCCGGGUCCCGCUCAAGUGAUUCCAGAAAAGAAGAUGAUGUGUUGUAGUUCAUAAAUUUGUUGUUAUUAUGAAUGAAUGAAUGAAUAUCUAUGGAGAUUAUUUGUUGCUAUGAAAGUAUGAAUAGUAAUUUUUUUGUGGGUGAUGAUAUUUUUUGUGUCGAUUCUUUUGUUGGUGUUGAAGGGAGAAGAAGAACAUGAAUGAUGAUGCCAUUUGUGUAUUAAUGUUUUGCAAUUUGCAUGAGUCAAAUGGUUAAAUAUUGGGUUAUUUCAUUUUGUUAUUAUGUUGUUAACUUGUUAUAUUUAUGCUCAAACUAUGACUAGCUAUUAAAAACGAAAACAAAUUCUAGAUGGAUCUUGUGGAUGUAACACAAACUCAAUGAAUUAUUGCAAAAUUGAUCUCAAUAGAGAAAAGUGAUGAUCAUGCCUGAUAACGAUUGGAUCAUAAUAUUUCAUUUUCCAUGUUAUUAUUUUGUACAUUUGAUUCACUUAGUUCAUCAAUUUACAUCAAAUCGUCAUGUUAAUCGGUUUUUUUAAUUGGUCUUAAUGUAUCCCAUGUUUUAUUAUUGUCAACAAACUUUACAUAUUUUACUGGUGUUUAUGGUACGUUAAAACGUAAGAUGAAAUGGAAUGAACUGUUUCAUUGUGGUUCAAAAAUAUUAUUUAUUUUUUAUAACAAUUAUAUAUUUAUCAAUAAUUUUGCUUAUCUAGAAAAUUUAUAUUUAAAAUUUAUUUUUAAUUUUCGCAUGACCUUCAAAACCAAAAACCGACCAUGGUAAAAUCUUAUUUUUAAGUUGUUUAUAAGGUGUACUUUAAUUCAAUCCGACUUUUAAUAUUUGUAUAUAAAAACGGAAAAUUUGAAGACCACGAAAUAUCGAAAGUGAUUUCAUUGGUUUAUUACCAACCCACCCAAAUGACAAAUAGAUGAUUUAACCGACCCAUUGUGUUUGUGAUAAAUAAAAUAAAUCCAAUCAAUACCCACAAAUCACAAUAAUAAGAAACCCCUAUAAAAAGUGGACACACUUCAUUCGCAAUUGGUGAUGAUAUUUAAUAUUUUGAAAACAUAAUUAGGAUGUUUAUACACUUAUAAAUAUUUUAGGGUUAAUCAUUAAGAUUAAGAUUGGUAGAGUCUUGUAACAAAAUGAAUAAUGUUUAUUUUUAAUCAAAUAUUACAAAUAAACCUUCUACUUUGCAAUAGAAGCUUUACUAAAUGCUUUUUUUUUGGCCAAAUCGUUUUAUGAAUGAACUUAGGGGUGUUUGGAUUAGCUUAUUAGUUUAUUGUUUAUUGCUUAUUUAUGGUGGGAAUAAGCAAUAAACAAUAAGCAUUGGGAGAGAUGCUUAUUAAAAUGAGCUUAUUUAGCUUAAUAAGCUGGAUUUUAUCCAAACACUCAAAUUAGCUUAUUGUAAGAAUAAACAAUAAGCAUCUCUUUUUUUCCUAUCCAAACACCCCCUUACUAAAAAAAUGAAGAAAAUAAUUAUACAUAAAGUAAUUAAUACAACAAACAAAAAUUGUUAAAGUAUAUUUUACAAAAUGAAUAAUCAUUUGUACUAACACCCUGGGGAAUGGUCAACACUAGAACAUCAUAUAAUCUAUGUCUUAUAAGGUUCCAUCGAAAAACAAUAUUCUUCUUAGUCAAACGGGCCAAUAUCACUGUAAUCUUAGGAAAAUCAUGGAUAAACCUCCUAUAACACCAUGUUAGACCAAGAAAACGAGAACCUUAGAGGGAUUCGUCAGGAGCUCUCAUUGCAUUAUCCCCUCAUUUUUGUCGCAUCAACCAAAAUACCCUUUUGGUUGACGAGGUGCCCUAAGAACUGGACAUCUUGCAACCAAACUCAUACUUCGAGAAUUUGGCAUAUAACAUAUCCCUCUUCAAAACCUCACAAAUCUCUCUUAUACGUUCCCUAUGUUGCUCCUUUGUCUUUAAAAGACCAGAAUAUCGUCAAUGAACAUGAUCACCGAUCAAUCGAGCAUAGGUUUGUAUAUAUGGGUUAUCAUGUCCAUGAACGCAACGAGUGCAUUGGUGAGCCCGAACGGCAUCACCACAAAUUCAUAAUGAUUGUACAUAGUUUUAAAGGUUGUCUUCAGUAAGACCUCAUCUCUCUCACUCGCAUCUAAUGAUAACCAUACCAUAAAUCAAUCUUGGAGAACCAAAAUACACCUGAAGCUGAUCAAACAAUUCGUUGAUCCUUGGUAAUGGAUAACAGUUCUUUACUGUGAGUUUAUUAAGCUCCUUGUAGUCGAUGCACAUCCUGUGCAAACCAUCCUUCUUCUUGACGAACAAAAUCGGUGCUCCCCAGGGUAAAUUGAUCGAUCGAAUAAACUCAUUGUCCAACAACUCAUGUGUAACCCUGUUUUCACUUUACAAUAUAUUUUAAUAUAAAUGCUUAUUUAUGAAAUUCAAAGUGGAAAUAUAUUACUUUUUAGCCAAAGUAAUCAUCAUGAAAAUUAUAGUAGACGUUAGUACGACUUGUGAGUAUAAAGAACGAAAAAAUCUAACAUCGUCUAAAGAAGGUAUGAAUUUCAGAAUAUAAUUUCACUAUAUAAAUAUAAGAUAUUGUUUAUAUAAAAUGAAAGAGGAAUAUAUAAUGAUUUAGAUAGAGUAGUCUAAAUAAAAUUUGUAGUACUCGAAAUUACGAAACUGUAGAUAUAAAGAAUGGUGAAAAUGGAGCUCGUAUGAGAAAGUUACAAUUAUGCAAAAAAGUAGAAAAUAGCAGAAACCUGAACUGAAGGCAGCUGGAAACACUUGGCUGCCAAGCCACCACAUGGCAACACCAGGCGCGCUUUUCUAGUUUUUAGACCUAUAAAAAGGGAGGCCACCCAUCCUUCAUUUGUUGCCCCAUUCUCUUCCAACAAUAUUCUUUUUCUCUCACCCUGGAGCAUUUCGGUCCCUCGUGAUUUGACUUCUCGUUCUGUAAUAUGGUUAGCGAAGCUUAGGAGAUUCCGGAAGGAUCUAAUAAAGUAGGCGUUGAAGUUCUGCUCGUGGAUAUUCGGAUUUCAUCAAAUAAAGUAAGUUAUAUUUACUCCCAUCUAUAUUUGAUUGUAGUCAUAAUCGUUGUUAUGAACCUAUGAGUACUAGAUCAGUCAUUGAUUCUAGUUAAAAGUACCGAUUAAUCUACUUAUGGGAGAUGUAUCUAGGACAGAUAUGUCGGCAUGGUUGCUAGAUUUCAGAAAAGCUAUACGUUGAAAUGUCCUGCCUCCCGACUAUCUUGAUUGGUUGAUCCUUAUUGACAAUCAUUCCAAUAUUGAUGGGAUUGGUAAAGGAUCUAGAAAUUAGUCUUUAUAUUACAUAGAUAUUAAUCAUUUUUAGUAUUAUAGGUUAAUACAUGUUUUGUGCACCUGUUCCUUGGUUGGAUAGUUGUUAGUCGUUUGAGAAAUUGUUCAGUUGAUUUUUCUCACUAUACUAUAUACUGCAAUAUAUAUCAUAUGUAUGUUAGGAUGUAGUUGCACUAUAGUAUGUUGUUAGGCAAGUAGAAUAGUUUAGUUAGUUGCAUGUUGUGUUGGAUAGGGUUUGUUUGUAUGCAUAUAUUAGGAGUUAACGGUGGAGCGGUGACAUGACGUGAGCCUAUAUACGUGUGUUGAUGAUGGAACACCGAUAGGCCUUGAGUCCAGGUACACAUGUUAUCGGUGGAAUGAAGAAAGGUCACGAGCCAUGGUUGUACGCAUUGUAUAUGUACUGUGAUAUAUGAUAUCUUAAGGAACUCACUAAGAUUUGGCUUACAUUUAUUAAUCAACUAUUUUGCAGAUACUUCUUCAAAUCAUAAGAAGGACAAUGUUUGACUAUACAUGCGUAUCGACAUCAUGUAUCAAGAUUUCAGCAUAUUCUAUUUUAUACUCUGAUUCGAAUAGUAGAGUCGAUGUUUAUACAAUGAUCGAACAAAAGGUCUUUUAUUAUUACCUUUGGAAACUAUGUUUUUGACAAAUGAGUUGUAACGUCCCUAUUUUUCAACCCGAAAUUUUCAUUUUUAUUUAUUAAAAGAUAUCAUAGUAUGAUUACAUUGUGCGGAAACAUGUUCUGAAUGUGCAUGUGUACAGUCGAGUCACAUGAGUGCCUGAAAAACAUUUAUAUUCAAUUGGGUAAGCACGAAGCUUAGUGAGUUCCCCAAAAUAGCUUAUACUACAAUACAUAUACAUGAGUACGAAUAAUGGCUCCUAUACUUUGGUCGUUCCACCCUCAUCCCUAACUAAACCUACGUGGGUCUAUAGGCUCGCGUACUUUGGUCAUUCUGCCAUCGAACCUAGCUAAAUCCAUGUGGGUCUAUAGGCUCCAGUUCUUUGGUCGUUCCACCAUCAAACCUCUAACUAACUCUAAUAUCACAACAAUUGUGCACAUACACACUGCACUUUAGAUUCUACAAGCACAUUUAUACUUUUUACUAUACCAGUUUACACUUAAGCACAUAGAGACUAUUCUAAGCUCUACUCUACUAGUUCUCUAUCCUAAAAGACAUGGACAUGUAUUGUAAUGCAUAGUAUACUGAGAUAACUCACAUGGACAAUUACUCCGACGAUUGACAACUAUUUGAGUGAUUUUACUGGGAUCCAAUUGGAUGGUAACACGCUUUACAAGUAUUAACCUAUAAUACUGUAACUUAUUAAUCCCUAUAGAAAUCUGGUAUUGAAAACUAUAUUUUCAAUAAUCCCAACGAAUAUCGAGAGUUCUAUCAAAUAAGGAUCAACCAGGCCCGACAGUUGGGAGGCAGGACCAUUUCGGCAUAUAGCCUUUCUGAAAUCCAACAAUCAAGCCAACAUAACCAUUCUAGACACCUUUCUUGUAAGUAGAUCAAUCAGAAUUAUAAUCGAAAUUACUGAUAAAUCCUAUAUAUAUCCACAACAACGACUAUGAAUAUAAAUAUAAUGUAACGCCCUGUUUUGGGCCAUUCUAUGAUACAGGGCCAAGGACCGGAAAUCGAUUCCAUAAAAGCUUUAAGGCCUUAAGGAGGCGAUUUUUAGAUCUUUUAGGAGAAGGCAAUGAAGGUUAUCAGACCUAAAUCCUCUAGAUUGUUCUUUGGGCCAAAGAGUAGCGUGGGAAAAGUCAUAGGUCAAUUUCUUGCAUGAGAAAUGGAUUUUUGUUUGAGGGUUUCCCAGUCCAAGAUAUCUAGAUAUUUUUGUGGGGCUUUUCAAUACCUUUCUGUGGAUUUAAAUAACGUCAAAAUCGGAGUUAGAACGAAGAAGUUGUGGUUAUUCAAAGUUGGAGGGUUUUUAGGUUGAGCCUAGUUAUUAGGAUAUCACCCCUAUUUAAAGGCAUUAAUUGACCCUUGGGCCUCCCAUAAUCAGCCUUCACUACUUCCAAACCCUAAUAUCGAGUGUAUCCUUUGUGAGUGAAGAUAUGGAAGCUUGGUGGUGAUUUUGGAGGCCUUGUGUUGAAGAAAAGACUAAUGACAAAGUAGGGGUUGCUUUCAAGCUUUUGGAUCUAGAAACUACUCCAUUUGGUGCAUCUUCUAAAGGUAUAAAGUUCAUACCUUGAUGAGUUUCCAUCUAGAUCUCCAUAGAUGGGUUUUUUCAUGAACUUUUGUCCCAAAGGUUGGACCUUUGUGAUUAUGGAGUACUCCAAAGCUUAUUAGUUGUCCUUUCAAGUAUUUUAGGUCUUGUGGAUUCAUAAAAAUGGUUAAUUUAUGGUCCAUUUCUAGCCAUGCAAGAUCUUGGUAGUGUUGAGUGUGGAUUAAGUUAGAUUUUCAAGGUUUAAACUCUUUUCCAGCCAUGAAAAUGCUUAAAGUCUUUGAAUUUAUGGGUUAAGAUGUUAUUUGGGAUCAGAUAUGAAGAAGUAAACUUAGCGGCUUAACCAUUUAAGUCCUUAAUGAUGAGUUUGGGUUGUUGUGGCGUAUAUUGGGUGUACCUAGCUCGUACGAAGUGCAUACUGUGGUGGCGUACGCUGGGCGUACUCAAAUUGUUGACUUCUGUUGACUUUUGUUGACUUUUGAGUUUUAGGCCUUCUUGGAUUUGGGCCCAUAGUGGGCUUUGGACACCAUUUAGGAUUUUGGGCCAUUGUAGGCUUUUGGGUGUCUUUGGGUGGGGCCUGGUUGUGGUUUAUGACAUGAUUAUUAAUUAGGAUAUUGCCUGAUGAUAUUUAGUGCGGAGGUUUCCUGGAUUAGCAGUUCGAGCAUUUAUCUAAUUGUUUCAGUAGUUUGAUGUGAGUCUUUUCCCGGUGCCCAUGAGUCGAAGGCACCAAUGUUGGCUCACUAAAUUAUGUAUGUAGGAUGCUACCUGUCUUUGUGACUCUUGUAUGUUUGUAUAAACCUGUGUGGUAGGAUAGUUGUAUCUGUGAUGACUAACUGGGUCUAGCUGUUAUUAUUAUGUUAUGUUUUUUUAUAUGUGUCUAAGACUGCUGAUAGUCUCCAGGGUUGCUGAUAACCCAUCAAGUGUGCCGUUAGUCCACUGGGACUGCUGAUAGUCCCCAGGUUUGCUGAUAACCCACCGAGCGUGCUGUUAACCCACUGGGACUGUUGAUAGUUCUCAGGGUUGUUGAUAACCCACCGAGGGUGCUGUUAGCCCAUUAGGAAUGCUGAUUGUCCCCAGGGUUGCUGAUAGCCCAUAACUAUUUAUUUGUGAUGUGUUGUGUGUGGUAUUUUAGGGAACUUACUAAGCUUUGUGCUUACGGUUUGUGGUUUGCAUGUUUCAUGUUUUCUUAUAUUAAAGGAGGGGCAUGGCUCGAUUGCAUCACAUCAAUGGGGGACUUGUGUAAUUGUUAACUUUUAAUGAUACUGUGAUAAAUGUUUUAAGAUCUUGCAAUUGUGAUUUCAAUAAAUACUUAAAGUUUUAAUCAAAAAAUUUUGGUUGAAUUUUGGGGCGUUACAAGCUUGUAUCAGAGCCUUGUUUUGAGGGAUUCAGGCAUACUCUUGGGUAUGUAUGCCUAAACUCAAAAUGAGGAUUCGGUAAAAACUUUAUUAAAGAAAUUGAUUUUCUAAGAAAGUUUUUAAAAUAAAAGGGGUGAGAUGCGUGCAAUCAACCGAGCUCAAGGAAGUAUUUUCCAAAAUACCCAUGCGUGUUAUAUGAUUGAUGUUUGAUGUGAGUAUAUGAGAAUUUCAUGCUAGAUUAGGGCUAAGGAUAUGCUCAGUGUUGCAUGGUAGGAUGCCUGAUUAUGAGAGAUGCCUUUAUGCCUGUUGUGUGAGCUGGUAGUGCUGCAUGCUAGUGAUCAGAGAUCUUCAAGAGCUUUUGAGAUGAGAGUGCCUGUUUAUGUGAUGCUUUUAGUGCUAGAUGCUCGAAUGUUGCUUGCUUUGUGCUUUGUAGGACUCAGAUUAAUGUAAGUUAGCUAUCACAUGAAUAUGUUAAUUUAAAUGCAGUGAGGGUUAAAUAAUCUGAGAGUGAUUGACUUGGCCUUAUUGCCCAGCUCUUUUUUGAGUCUAACCGUUGUAGGGUUGUAUCUUUUAGUCGAACAAUUAUCUAAGCCUUGUUGCAUGUAAUUGUAUUCAUGAAUUAGUUGACCGACAUUGGUAGGGGUCCUUCAGCAGCUGAUGGCAGGGUGAAGAGAUAAUCCUAGGAGAGCCUAAGAAGCAAUUGUUGGAUAAGGUGUCUAAGUCCAUAACUAUUUCUGGUAUGUACUUGACCCGGUUGACACGGUCCAUUUGGGUUGCAUGGCAUCAUGAUAACUGGAUAAACAAAAUGAGAAAAAGGACACUUAUGAUUUGUUAACAUAUUAUAAGUUAUAAUAUAUUAAUAUGAAAUCAUAUUAUUUAAUUAGUAUCGAUCAAGAAUUAAUUUGGAAUUAAUUUUGUGAUAAAAAAUAGACUAAUUAAAUAUAUGGGGUUGAUUGUGUAAAUCAUCCAUUAUUAUAUAGUGGGCUAAUGAUCCAUGGUUUAUUGGAUUGGGCUAAAACCCAUAGGGUGCUCCAUGGAGGUUAAAACCCAUGGAUCAUGGAGGAAAUGAAAAGCCAUGUCAAUUAGGGUUUACAUGGUGUAACCCUACUUGUGACACACUAUAUAAAGACCUCAUAGGCUAGCAAAAUCGGCACUAAGACUAAAACAAGGAGGGCUAGCCGAUUUUGAGUGAUAGUGUAUUUCUCUCAAAGUUAUUCCAAGAGUUGUGGUAUUGUGUGAAACAUUUUAGGCAUCACAUUUGGGGUGCUAGGCUCACAAAGUUCUUAAGGAAUCCAAGCAACAAGAAAGGUAUGUUCUUCUACUAGCUUUUAUGUUUCAAGUUCCCCAUUCCAUGCUAAUUAGGUUAAGAACCUUGGAAAAAAUCAAAUUUGCAUGUAUCUUAGUAAAACAUAGAUCCAAGGUUUCUAGGGUUGCAUGUACACCACAGGAGUGUUAGAAUGCUCAAAACCCUUCAGUGGUAUCAAAGCCUAGGAUUGUUUACAACUAUACUUGAUGCUACAUGCUUUUUCCAAAGUUGAAAUUCUGCAUUUUUUGCAUUAGAAUGCUCACCACGACGUGGCAGUCCUUACCACGACGUGGUGAUGCCCCUGUAUGCAGAAUUUUGGGGGUUUUGCUUGGUAUUGGAUGAGGAUCAUUACCCUAAACUAUUUUUUGAACCUUAUAACUUGGUUUUGAUGUGGUAAUGUUUACGCUAAUCCAAUUUAAAAGGUUAUUAUCAAAUUUCAAGCUUUAUAUGUGUUUAUAUGAUUCUUGAAAUUGUUGAUAUGAAUGUUCAUACACUUAUGAGUUUUGGUAGAUCAUAGGAAUUAUUUGCAAAUUGUUUGUUAGUUUAAUUCUUGAUCUAAAUGUUUUUAAUGGAGUCCAUAAUUUGUCCUCAAGUUAUGGAUUACCAAAAGUCUUUUCUUUUUAAAGUCCAUUAAAGAACACAUAGGUUACAUAAAUGAAGAGUCUUCAUUUUAAUAAACCAUUAACUCAUAAGUUAUGAAGUUGAAAUUUUUUGAAUAGUUACAAAAUUUGCCCUCAAGUUUUGGAACAUGUAAAGUCACUUUAGAAAACUUUAGUUCCAACCCCUAUAAUUUUAAAAGUUAAAAUUCAA